AAUCAUAACAGGAAUACACCCCCACCAAUUAAUUCCCUACACUAGCGACCCGAACUGGCCCUAAUCCUCUGCCGUAAUUCGCAUCUUCCAGACCUUCCUAUCUAGGGUCAUGUCAUAAAGCUUUAAGUUAAUUUUCUAAACAAACAUCGAACUUUGCAAUCAUAUGAUUAACUUAAGCCUAACAAACAAUAACUCCAUUACGGAGCAAAUCUUCACCAUAGGUUUUGGCUAAAAAGAUGUACUCAAUCAUAUAACAAAUAGGACCAAGCAUUCCAACUCUUAUUAAGGGAUCACUUUAUGGUAAGGGAACUUGAUUAUAUUGAAGGUUUAAUCAAUUUAAGAACUCUUAGUAAGCUAUACGUAUUUGCAUAAAAACAUGAUUACUUUAUAGUAAGAACAGUUUAUGGUAUAGAAGUAUAUAACAACAACAACAUACCAGUGUAUUCCCACAUAGUGGGGUUUGGGGAGAGUAGAGUGUACACAGACCAUACCACUACCUCAGGUGAAGUAGGUGAAGUAGAGAGGCUGUUUCCGAUAGACCCUCGGCUUAGGACCGAUAACAGUAUAGCGAUCACAAACAUAAAUGUGUACAGUAUGCAAAAUAAACUAACCCCCUCGGGUCAAUCCACACAUCCAGCGCAACAUCCGCAUUUCUGCCACCUUCAUUUUUUGGAUGUGGGAGUUCUUAACUGGCCAACACUCCGCUCCAUACAGCAAGGCCGGACGGACUACCACCCUAUAGAAUUUGCCUUUAAGCUUGGGCGGCACCUUCUUAUCACACAGCACCCCCGAUGCGAGUUUCCACUUCAUCCAUCCCGCCCCAAUACGGUGCGAGACAUCCUCGUCAAUCUCACCGUUACUCUGGAUCACGGACCCGAGAUACUUGAACUUAUCCCUCUUCCCUACCUCCUGUGCUUCUAGCCUCACUACUACCUCAUUCUCCCGCCUCACGUCAUUAAACUUACAUUCCACUGUCCUAGACGACUAAUGUUAAAGAGUACGUAACACCAGAUGUUAGGUUGCACAGAAGGAAUCACAAAAGAAAAUAAGAACUUCGUGAAAAAUAUCACAUGACAAUUGAUGAUUUUAUAAACCAGAUGAUUCAGAGAACAUCGGGUCUCAAGUUACUGCAAAUUCAUACAACAGGAUCAACCAUAUGAAGGGCGAUAUACUGGUUAACAGUCUUCGAUGAACUUAAAAGUAGUGAUUAGCUCGCCUACUACUAUCUAUCUACAUGCUAUGGCAGAAAAGAUUGGAGAAUAGUACCUCUGUAUCUGUGCUUUUAUAAUAUCAACGAGAUCCUGAGCAGUGACACUGCAAUGAACAUGACGUCAAAAGGUAGACCAAAUAUACACCAAGAUGCUCAUCAAAAUUUAGUAUUUCACCGACCUUCCAAAGAUUUGCUUUCCUUUCCCACCCUUACGCUUCACCUUGAAGGCUCCAACAGUUUCAAAAAUUCGAGCAAGCUGUUGUGCCUCAUCUUUCACCUGGAUUCAAGAUUAAACAUUUAACUAAACCACAUUCGUCAUGGAACUGUUGACUCUCUGUAGGUCAAAUCCGGUCGUGACUUGAAAAUUAAAAAUUUAUAGUUUUUCAAAUUUCAACAGAUUCGACUAAUAAGAAAUCUACUUACCCGUUGUUUCUCCGCUUCAAUUCUCUCCUCUUCCAUCUUCAUUUCCCUGAGAAGAGAAGCAUGCAAUUUUGUAAUGUCUUUUUCAGGACUAUUGCACGAUUAAUGUUAGCAGCUGGUUAGGCCUAUUAAUCACCCCAAAGCUAAAGGCCAAGUCACUAAGUAGUAAGGAAAAAAGAGUAACGUCACUAAGCAGUAGGAAAUCCAAAGCUUUAUAUCCAGUUGAUUAUCCAUACUUAUACAAACGUGGACCAGAUAUUAAAAACAAAUCAAUAGUCAAUGUUAUAUUUUGCUAAAACAAGUGAGCUUACUUAAAACUUAUGAUCAUUAAACAUAAUAGGCACAAUCAAUGAGCAAAAACGUAGAGCUUUUGUACUAACCAUGAGUUCUAAAGCCAAAGUUACCAUAUUUCUGCUCAAGGAAUAUCGACAAUGAUUAGGCAUCAUUCUGGUACGGCUUCUGCUCACCGUUAUGUAUAUCCAUGGGUACAUUCACUUAUCAGCUAGUUACUAGUAGUUCAAAGGAUCCCCAUAGAGUAAAUAUAUUGUAUAACUAUGUUAUUUCCGUUCCGCACUAAUCCAUCAACAUAGAUGACUGAUUAGACAACACAAGCAAUAGUAAUAACAUAAUUCCACUCAUGAGCAAAGCGUAUGUAGCAUACUAAUUAGUUGAAGCAAAGAUUCCUGAAGGUUCAAAACUGCCCCUAGAUAUGCAAAAUGGAACAACUUUGCCCGCUAAAGCAGUGUCUUAUUCUUACCCCGCUGUUACAGAAGUGGCUCAAUUGUACCCCUACCUUGUGUGAGGUAGAAAGGUUGUUUUCGACAGACCCUACACUCGGCUCAAGAAAGGAGUUUUCAAAAACAUGUUUGACAAAUACAAGAGUAAAAAACAUAGUGAAAAUACGAUAGGAUACUCGCAACAAAAAUACUAAAGACAACCCAAGUAAAAGGAACAAUAAUAGUAGUAAUACAGUAGAAGAAUAAUGAUAAUGAUACAAUAUUAGCAAACUUUUAACUAAACACAAAAUGUAGCUAAUGAAAGAAGAAUCUAAAAGGCAAUGAAAGCAAAUGGUAAAAAUUAAGCUCCAUAGAGAAUUAACAAGUUGUACUUGAUAAGUGCAGCUGUCACAAUUUGAGCUUUCCCCGUUGGUAGCAGAUAAUUCCUAAAGAAUCCAGCUCUAACGUCCAAAAGUUCCCCCUUUUUACCCAACUGUGUUAUAUCCUCUGUCAGUAUUAUCUGCUCAAUCAAACAAAAAAUCCCACUUAGCUACAACCCAGAAAUGGGCAAAAAAAAUGAGAUUUUGACAAUAAUAAUUAAACUACAACAUCAACAUCCCCAGUGUGAUUCCACAAGUGGAGUCUGUGGAGGGUAGAGUAUACGCAAACCUUACCCCUACCUCGUAGAGAUAGAGAGGAUGUUUUUGAUAGAACCUCUGGCUGACGUAGCGCAUCUCAAAGUAGUUUGAAAAAGGGAAAACAAAAAUGAAAGUAGUAACAACAACAUACCCAGAGAGAGGGUAGAAUGUACGCAGACGUUACCACUAUUUCAUAAAGAUAGAAAGAGGGAAACAUUUCAUUUCCAAUAGACCCCUGGCUCAAGUAAUGUAUCUCAAAGCAAUUUGCAAAAAGGAAUACAGAAAUGAAAGCAGUAACAACAAUGAAAUAAAGCACUAUAGUAAUAAAUUGAACCUACUAUCAACAUUUUCAACAACAUACACCAUUCAAUCCCAUAAUUGGGGGUCGGGGAGGGUAGAGUGUACACAUAACUUGUCCCUACCUCGUAAAGACACAGAGGAUGUUUCCGAUAGACCCUCGGCUCAAGUAAUGCAUCUCAAAGCAGUUUGCAAAAGGGAAUACGGAAAUAAAAGCAGUAACAACUAACAACAACAACAAAGACAUAGAGAAGCUAUUUCUAAUUGACCCUCUGAUGCGAAUUAAAACCCCAUUGAGCUAUAAAUUGAACCCCAUUAUGACAUGUCUUUCCAAGAAAGACUUCACCUUUCGUAAUUUCUUGGUUUUCUUAUUGUUAAAAAAAGUGAGGUCUUGGUAGAGUAGCGUGUAUGCAGACCUUAAAAGAUCGAGAGACUAUUUUCGAUAGACCCGUAGAAGUUAAAAGAAAAACCAUUUAGCUAAGAGUUAAUGGUUCAAACACACACCUAAAGUAUUUCAUACCUAAACUAUCAAGUGUGCAUUUCCUACCUGAACUAUCACCAACUAGUUAGCAAAACACACUUAAACUAUUAAUGACCCACUUUUCCUACCAGAAAUUUCAGGUAUGAAACUCAAAAAUUUAGUAGUUUAGGUGUGUUUUGCUAACUAGUCAGUGGUAGUUCAGGUAGGAACUCACACACAUGAUAGUUCAGGUAUGAAACUCAAACAAGUUAAUAGUUUAGGUGUGUUUUGCUAACUAGUCAAUGGCAGCACAGGUAGGAACUCACACACAUAAAAGUUCAGGUAUGAAACUCAAAACAAUUAAUAUUUUAGGUGUGUUUUGAUAACUAGUCGGCGGUAGUACAGGCAGAAAACUUCAGGUAUGAAACUCAAACAAUUAAUAAUUUAAGUGUGUUUUGCUAAAUAAUCUGUGGUAGUUCAGGUACGAAGCUUACAUACAUGAAAGUUUAGGUAUGAAACUCAAACAGUUAAUAAUUUAGGUGUGUUUUGCUAACUAAUCGGCGGCAGUUCAGGAAAGAAACUCACACACAUGAGAGUUCAGAUAUGAAACUCACACACAUGAUACCUAGAUAUGAAACUCACACACAUGAUAGUACAAUUAUAAAACUCACACACAUGAUAGUGCAAGUAUAAAACUCAAACAAUUAAUAGUUCAGGCAGGAAACUCACACACAUGAUAAUUCAAGUAGAAAACUCACACAUGAUAGUUCAGGUAGGAAACUCACACACAUAAUAGUUCAGGUAGAAAACUCACACAUGAUAGUUCAGGAAGGAAACUCACACACAUGAUAGUUCAGGUAUGAAACUCACACACAUGAUAGUUCAGGUAUGAAACUCAAACAAUUAAUAGUUCAGGUAAGAAACUCACACAUGAUAGUUCAGGUAGGAAACUAGUUCAGGUAGGAAACUCACACACAUGAUAGUUCAGGUAUGAAACUCAAACAAUUAAUAGUUUAGGUGUGUUCUGCUAACUAGUCGAUGGCAGCUCGGGUAGGAAAUUCACACAUGAUACGCAUAAAAUCCAAACAAUUAAUAGUUUAGGUGUGUUUUGCUAACUAGUCGGCGGUUGUUCGGGUAGGAAACUCACACACAUGAAAAUUCAGGUAUGAAACUCAAACGAUUAAUAGUUUAGAUGUGUUUUGCUAACUAGUCGGUGGUUUUCGGGUAGAAAACUCACACACAUGAAAGUUCAGGCAUGAAACUCAAACAAUUAGUAGUUUAGGUAUGUUUUGCUAACUAGUUGAUGGUAGUUCACGUAGUAAACUCACACACAUGAUAAUUGAGGUAUGAAACUCAAACAAUUAAUAGUUUUGGUGUGUUUUGCUAAUUAGUCGGUGGUAGUUCAGGUAGAAAACUCACACACAUAAAUGUUCAGGUAUGAAACUCAAACAACUAAUAGUUUAAGUGUAUUUUGCUAACUAGUCGGUGGUAGUUCGGGUAGGAAACUCACACACAUGAUAAUGAUAAUUCAUGUAUGAAACUCAAACAAUUAAUAUUUUAGGUGUGUUUUGCUAACUCGUCGGUGGUAGUACAGGUAGGAACUCACACACAUAAAAGUUCAGGUAUGAAACUCAAACAAUUAAUUGUUUAGGUGUGUUUUGCUAACUAGUCGGUGGUAGUACAGGCAGAAAACUUCAGGUAUGAAACUCAAACAAUUAAUAGUUUAGGUGUGUUUUGCUAAUUAGUCUGUCGUAGUUCAGGUAGGAAACUUACAUACAUGAAAGUUCAGGUAUGAAAUUCAAACAGUUAAUAAUUCAGGUGUGUUUUGCUAACUAGUCGGCGGCAGUUCAGGUAAGAAACUCACACACAUGAUAGUUCAGGUAUGAAACCCACACACAUGAUACCUAGAUAUGAAACUCACACACAUGAUAGUUCAAUUAUGAAACUCACACACAUGAUAGAUCAAGUAUAAAGCUCAAACAAUUAAUAGUUCAGGUAAGAAACUCACGCACAUGAUAGUUCAGGUAGGAAACUCACACACAUGAUAAUUCAAGUACGAAACUCACACACAUGAUAGUUCAGUAUGAAACUCAAACAAUUAAUAGUUCAAGUAAGAAACUCACACACAUAAUAGUUCACGUAGGAAACUCACACACAUGAUAGUUCAGUAUGAAACUUAAACAAUUAAUAGUUCAGGUAAGACUCACACACAUAAUAGUUCACGUAGGAAACUCACACACAUGAUAGUUCAUGUGUGAAACUCAAACAAUUAAUAGUUUAGGUGUGUUUUGCUAACUAGUCGGUGGUAGUUCAGAUGGUAAACUUACACACAUGAUAGUUCAGUAUGAAACUCAAACAAUUAAUAGUUCAGGUAAGACUCACACACAUAAUAGUUCACGUAGGAAACUCACACACAUGAUAGUUCAUUUAUGAAACUAAAACAAUUAAUAGUUUAGGUGUGUUUUGCUAACUAGUCGGUGGUAGUUCAGGCAGAAAACUUCAGGUAUGAAACUCAAACAAUUAAUAGUUUAGGUGUGUUUUGCUAAAUAGUCUGUCGUAGUUCAGGUAGGAAACUUAGAUACAUGAAAGUUCAGGUAUGAAACUCAAACAGUUAAUAAUUCAGGUGUGUUUUGCUAACUAGUCGGCGGCAGUUCAGGUAAGAAAAUCACACACAUGAUAGUUCAGGUAAGAAACUCACACACAUGAUAGUUCAGGUAUGAAACCCACACACAUGAUACCUAGAUAUGAAACUCACACACAUGAUAAUUCAAUUAUGAAACUCACACACAUGAUAGAUCAAGUAUAAAGCUCAAACAAUUAAUAGUUCAGGUAGGAAACUCACGCACAUGAUAGUUCAGGUUAUAAACUCACACAUGAUAGUUCAGGUAGGAAAUUCACACACAUGAUAAUUCAGGUAUGAAACUCACACACAUGAUAGUUCAGUAUGAAACUCAAACAAUUAAUAGUUUAGGUAAGAAACUCACACACAUAAUAGUUCAUGUAGGAAACUCACACACAUGAUAGUUCAGUAUGAAACUCAAACAAUUAAUAGUUCAGGUAAGACUCACACACAUAAUAGUUCACGUAGGAAACUCACACACAUGAUAGUUCAUGUAUAAAACUCAAAUAAUUAAUAGUUUAGAUCUUCUACUAAAAAACAAAGAUUUUGAAAAUAAUAAAUUAAACCCCAUUAUGACAAUAUUUUUCAAGAAAGACUUAACCUUUCGUAUUUUCUUGGUUUUCUUUUGAGCUACAAUUGUUAAAAUUGAACUUCUUUCUGAUAAUUUUGUAUUUUCAGCAUUUGUAAUUUUUGCUAAGCUGCAAAAAGAUGAACUCCAUGAUAGAUUUGCCAUACCUACUUUGAAUUUUUUUCUGUAAUUUUUUUCACAGUAUAAAUGUUAUCUUAUCAGUAAUGGCAAGCUGAAGAAGAUAGUGGGGAUGGUAAUACUUUAACGGGUCAAAAAAAAGUUAUUGGGCUGGUUUCUUCAUGGACCAGUUAUUGGUCCAAUUAUCAUUUUUGGGCCAUUUUUUCUUGGGCAAACAACGUAAAUCCCGAUAGUUUAAAGCUUAGUUACAAAAAAAUUCAAUAUUUGCAUAAUUACUAAAAUUUUGAUUUUGAAUUUAUCGUAAUUAGCUCUCGAUAUCUAAUGAAGAUACAUUUUUCCUUUGUAAGGAUACAUAAUUAGCUUCCGAUAUAUUUUUUCAAUUUUUGGGUCUGUCAAGAUACAUAAUUAUCUCCCGAUACAUCCAACAAAGAUACAUAAUUAGUUGAAAUUUUUGUAAUUACUCUGUAACGGUGGAAAUUUGCAAUAUAAUAAGUCAAGGUGUAUAUUUAUAUUUUUUUGUUUUGUUUUCUUUUCAUAGGCUUACACAGAAGGCCCUCAAAUGUAUGGUCUUGAAAUUUUAGGAAAAAUAACAUAAAUAUACACCAUAACUUACCACAUUUACACAAAUCGUUAUCCUUAAUUGUGUAAUUACAAAAAUAUCAAUUAAUUGUGUAUCAUCGUUGAUGCAUCUAAAGCUAAUUAUGUGUCUCGACAGACCCAUGAUCGAAAAAAAUGUAUCGAGAGAUGAUUAUGUAUCUUAACAAAGGAAAAAAUGUAUCUUCGUUGAAUUUAUUUUAUAUUUUGACAGACCCAAAAUCAACAAAAAUGUAUCAAAAGUUAAUAAUGUAUCUUUAUAAAGAAAAAAAUGUAUCUUUAUUGAAUGUAUCGAAAGCUAAUUAUGUAUCUAGACAGAACCAAAAUUGGAAUUUUCAAUAAUUAUUCAAAAUGUUGGGCUUUUCUGUUAUUAAGCUCCAAAUUAUCGGAAUUUAUGUUGCUUACCAGAAAUUUUAUUCCCAGUAAAUAAGUUCUAACUUUUGUCUAUGAGACAGAACUUUUGGUCAAUGUGUUAGUUUAGUAUCUUGAAAUGUCAUGAAUAUUUUAUCUUAUGGGCGAUAUAUCUAAGUUCUAAUCACGUACGUUAGUUCAUGGACACAUUUUAAUCAAAAUACAUGAGGAUAUAAUCAAAUUCGUUCUCAAACCAACCUUCAUAUGGAUAAUAAAUAACUCUUGGACAUAUAAAUAACGCCUAAGAUCAAGGGUAAUUUGGUCAUAAUAUUUGCUUCUGCUUCUCAAGUAGCUUCCUCAACUAGUUGAUUUCUCCAAAGAGCUUAUGCAUAAUGUGCCCCAAAUUGGUCGGCCUUGAACUCGUAUCGCCGCUAAAUAAUUUCUAAUGUUUGCAUAUAGGAUAGAACUUCUAGCAAAUUAUGCAGGUUCAAUUUCUUGAAAUGUCAUGUACGUCUACCUUAUGACAAAAGUUAGAACGUCUACUUUACGAGAUUUAUUGAGCAUGACCAAAAAAUCAUUUGUUGGACCAAAACUAACCAUAGAUACGAUAAACUUGCAUCUAUUGGAAAUUAUGACUACGUGCAUGAAAAAAUUCAUUUUUCAUGGAGCUUUGUGAAUGCAUUAAUUAAACAUGCAAUUAUCCCCAAAUUAUGCAACUUAAUUUUAACAUUAAGAGAAAUUAGAAAAAGAUAAUUUUUCCAUUAAGGACUAGAUCACAUUAUGUGUUUGGUAUGAGGAAAAUAUUUUUCAUCAAAAUAGUUAUUAUUUAUUUAUAUUUUUAGUGUUUUUAAGUGAAUAAAAAGAAAUAUUGUUUCACAAGCAUUUGUAUGUAUUAUAUAGAAACUACAAUUGUGGUGGGUAGAGUGGAGAGGGGGUCGGGGUCGGGGUCAGUAUUGAAGUUGAAAAUUUCGUUAAGGAUAUUCAAGAUUUGAUAUUUAUAUGUACGAAAAAUAAUAUUUGACGUAUAUACUUCGUAUAAUUUUCUCACCCUUCACUAUAUGUGGCUACGCUCCUGGUUGGGGGUGGACAGGGUUAGGUGAUCGGGGAAGAGACAACAAGCUUAUAUAUUUACUUAUAAUGUAACCUUUUUUUCUAAUUCAUACUUGGGAGGUCACGGGUUCAAACCUCGGAAACAGCCUCUGGCGGAAAUGCAAGAUAACACUGCAUACAAUAUACCCUUGUGGUGGGGCCUUUCCCCGAACCCUGCACAUAACGCGAGUUUUAGUGCAUCGGACUGCCUUUUUUUUAUACUUGAAAAAAAAUUCUAAUUUUCUUAAAAUAAUAAAUUAAAGAAGUUUUUUUAUCAAAUAUGAAAAAAUUGAAUUUUUUUUUUUUUUUUUUACUAUAUAUCAAAUACACCCCUAAUUAAUGUAUACAUUUUCACCUUAAAUUUCUGUGGAAGAAGAUUUUAAUUUUAAGUUUUAGCCUCAUAAUCACAUGAUCACACGAUUAUAACUCUUUACUAUUAUAAGUUUUAACCAUAGAUAGAAUAUUGGAGUAAAAGUUUAGAAUUCGUUAUUCAAAUCAAAUUAGUAAAUGCAUGAUAUUUAUUUGUACAUAUACGAAAUAUUACAUAACUAUGAUUAGCAAUAAAUGUAUAUCUUCACUUCAUUGAAUCAUAUAAGUUAUAUUGAUUUGAUGCAAGUCUGCGAUAUAAUUAAAUGAAUACUACUUAUUUAUUUGUCGAAUAUUAGCUAUGGAUUAAUUAAAAUAUUACAACACAAAAAGUAGGAAACGUCAGUAGUCCCUACCCAAUAAAGUGACAUUUUGUGGUUAGAUUCUCAAUUUUCAAAAAAUUGAAUUAAAUUUAACAAAAAAUAUGACAGCUCCAAAAUUCCAAUAAAUUAAUACAAAUGUGGAAAUGGUCAGUACAUUAUCUGUUAAAUAAAUAAAUAAAAUAAAUCUCUUUUAAUUACAACUUCAUGCGUGAAGCUAAGGUUGCCACUAAUCAACCAACAAAAAUAGUUUGAACAAAAUAUAUCAUAUAAUUGUUUUUAACAACCAAACAUAUUAAGAAAUUUUAAUAAUUAGGGUGUGUUUGGUAUAGAUUUUUCAAAUUUUUUCAUAUUUGGUUGGAUAAUAUUUUUGAAAAUUAUUUUCUCUACGCAAAAAAUACGAAUUCACCAUCAGGUCCCUGAGGAAUAUUAGACAACAACAAUAACGAAACUAAAAAUGAAGUUUGCUGAAACGAAAUAACACGAGAUUUUACGUAGAAUUCUCCUUGCUCAAGGGAGGAAAACCAUGUCCUGUCCUCACUGGAUUUUCCAAGCUUCACUAUAAUCAAGCAACCUUUGAUUACAGACUUAAAAAGGAUUUAACUCUAAAUCCAUGUAAUAACUCUAUUACAACCAGAUGGGACAACUCUUCCUCACCUCUCCAGCUAAUCAACUAGCUCUAGUCGAUCAAAGCUAGGUAGCUUUACCUAAGCAAACACUCAACAUAAUCAGGGAAGUUAUUACUCACAAUCACAAGAGUAAACUUCUAUUCUAGAAUAAGAUUCAAGACUCAGGAAAGUAAAAAGGCUGAAAGCUAAUAGGUCUCUCUUAGCAGCUUCGUAUUUCUUGAGCUAGAGCAGCUUUUGUGAUUUCUGAAAAAAAUAAUUUGUGCAAAAAUUAGGUGUGAUCACUUCUUUACUCAUGUAUGUUGAAGGACGAUUCGAAGAAUAUUCCAUUGGACCAGGUGUUCGCUCAUCGUAUGUUGCACACCGACACAGUAAUGAUGCUACAUGACAAAACUGUACAGUGCACAUGAAUGUACAACUAUCCCACGCCAUUCCUCAAAAAGUAAGUAUGUGACGGACCUGGUCCCUGAAUAUUCUGGAAGUCAUCAUCAAAACUUAAUUCAACAACAAAUACAACUGGAAAUCUAAGUUUAUUGUCUCCUCCGCAUCCACUCAACUCCAUCCAAACCCCAACCCUUAACUGCCCCACGGUCGUCACGGCUGAGGCUCUACUCUACACCCCCUUUCGAUGCACCCUCAUAAUGUUUUGGUUACAUAUAAAUAUUCUUGAAAUAUAUUUUUUUUUAUUUACUCACCAAACAGUAAGAAAUAUGUAAGCAACACAAUUGUUUUCCAAAAAAUCAUUUUUCAUCAAAAAUAUUUUUCUCAUACCAAACACAUGCUAAGUCAAACAAAAGUUUGUGUCCCCCCCCCCCCCACCACCACCACUCUAAACUAUAAUUAUAAAAUUAUUCUCUUUCUAAAGAAUUUGUCUUAAUAUAUGAUAUGGUAGUAUUUGAGGAAGGCCUUAAGUGGUACUUAUAUUAUUUGAAUCUCAAAAGUUGACUUAACAUUGUAUCACUAUUCCUCUCUGGCUUAUUAUUUUUUUUCAUUACCAAAACGUCACCAAAAAAAAACAUUAUAAUUAUUUUCUUCCCCUUCUUAUAUGAUCAAAUUGUUGAAGAAAAUUAUGUUUUUUUUUUUCAAGAGAAAAUUAAAGGUUUCUUGAAGAUGAAUAUUCAAGGGACAACUAGUAGUAAUCCAUGUUUCCCUAAUAGUACUACUAAUAAUCCACAAAACUUACCAUUAUAUGAAUCUAUUCAUCAUCAUAAUAUUCAAGAAGAUAUAUUUUCUUCAUCAUUAGUCCAUAAUUCUCAUCAACAAAAUUCAUUUUUAUUCAACUUAUCUCUUCUCAAAGACAAAGUUCAUCAAGUUCAAUCACUUGCCACCAUGUUUGUUUCUCAUGAUGAUCAAACGUUAACUCACCAUCCUCAUGAGUCAACGUCUGUAGCUAUCGCGAAUAUGGGAACUUUGAUCCAAGAAAUCAUCACGAUUGCUUCUUCUCUCAUGUUUUCUUGUCAAAAGAUUGCACUCGACCCCAGUUCAGCUAGCCAGAAUUCAAGUAUAUUUCGCGAACCAUCUCAAAUGAUCAAGAUUCAAGACGAUGGUCAUGGUCGUGGUGAUGGUCAGAUGGAUCACUUGCUUCAAGAUUAUAAUUGGUAUGAAGAGAAUUACAAUUAUUGUAACACUCAUGAAGAUAACAAGAAUCAUGUUACUAGUAGUAUUAUAGCUAGCAAUGCUAUUAGUAGUCAUGAUUAUGAUAGUAAAGAAUUUGGAAAAAGGGAAGUAUUAUUGAGUACUUCAAAAGGGAAAGUUCAUGUGAAUAAUGAAGACAAUUAUGAUAUUAUUGAGUUAGAUGCAUCUGAUUUAUUGGCAAAGUAUACACACUAUUGUCAAAUAUGUGGUAAAGGGUUUAAAAGAGAUGCAAAUUUGAGAAUGCAUAUGAGGGCUCAUGGAGAUGAAUACAAGUCUAGUGCUGCAUUGAGUAAUCCUUUGAAGAAAAACAACCAUGAUUAUGUAUCACAAUUGAUCGGUAACAAGAUUAAGUAUUCGUGUCCACAAGAAGGUUGCAAGUGGAACAAGAAACACGCAAAGUUUCAGCCAUUGAAAUCGAUGGUGUGUGUGAAGAAUCACUAUAAAAGAAGCCAUUGUCCUAAGAUGUAUGUGUGCAAGAGAUGCAACAAGAAGCAAUUUUCUGUGUUGUCUGAUCUUAGAACUCAUGAGAAACAUUGUGGUGAUUUGAAAUGGCAAUGUUCAUGUGGUACUACUUUUUCAAGAAAGGAUAAACUUAUGGGACAUGUUUCUUUAUUUGUUGGACACACCCCACUUAUAAAAGAAAGCGUAAGUUAGCGCUAGUACAACAACAACAUAUCCAAUGCACGUAAUCCCACAAGUCGGAUCUGGAGAAAGCGUAAGCUAGCGCUAGUACGACAACGACAACAUAUCUAGUGUAGUCUCACAAGUCGAAUCUGGGGAGGGUAGAAUGUAUGCACACCCUACUGUUACCUCGUGAAAGUAGAAAGGUUGUUUACGAAAGUCCUUCGAGUACUCAUGUGAUCUGGCUAGUAUAUUUUACAACUUAGUUGAGUUUGUAAUGUAAUGCACCUAUAUAUCUUUGUUGUAAAAAUGUUAUUGUGCUUGUAAUUAGAUGAAUCAAUGUGAGAAUUAUCCUAGUACAACAACAACAAUAUAUCCAGUGUAGUCUCUCACAAGUCGGAUCUGGGGGAGGGUAGAAUGUAUGCACGCCCUACUGUUACCUCGUGAAGGUACAGAGGUUGUUUACAAAAAACCCUCGAGUACUCAUGUGACCUAGCUAGUAUAUUUUACAACUUAGUUGAGUUUGCAAUGUAAUGCACCUAUAUAUCUUUGUUGUAAAAAUGUUAUUGUGCUAGUAAUUAGACGAAUCAAUGUGAAUAAUUAUCCUAGUACAACAACAGCAACAUACCCAGUGUAGUCUCACAAGUCAGAUCUGGAGAAGGUAGAAUGUUUGUACACCUGUAAUACGAUGUGUUCUACAUGUAGUAAAAAAUUCCAUAUUCUUCUUCUUGUAUUUGAGGUACUAGUCGAGUACUUUGCUUUCCCAUUCCCGGCGUAUUAUAGUACUAUUAAUCUUGCAUGUUGCUAUCGGAAACAACUUCUCGCUCUUUCUUCUGAUCUUCUCAGGGUAGGAGUAAGAUCUGUGUACACACAACCCGUGCAAAUCCCAAUUAUUCGAUGUGAUGAUGUAUUAUAGUACUUAUGUACUUUUGGACACACAAAUGUGUUAUGGAGAGAAAUGUACGUUUGAUAUAACUCAAUAGAGAUAUACAAAUGUGUGUAUUUAUGGUCAUAUACGAAUAGACACUAUAUAAGAAAAAUUGAAGUAAGUUAUGAAUUUGUCGUUGCUAAAUGAUACGCGAUCUGUUUCAAAAAGAAUGACAUGUUUUGAUUUGACGUGGAGUUUAAGAAAAUAAAGAAGAUUUUUAUAUUUUGUGGACUUAAAUUAAAGUUACGUCGCAUGUACCAAAAUGUACUUUAAUCUUAUGAUCUUAAACAUGUCACGUGAAAAAUUAGAAUUAAAGUGUUGCCAAGAAUUAAAAGGGUCAUUCUUUCUGAAACGGACUAAAAAGAAAAGUAGAUCAUUUUUUUUAAACGAAGGAGUAUUUAUAUUUGCUUUUGGAGGCAUAAAGAAUGAGCAAACGAACUACUCCCUCUAGUCCAAAAUAAUCAAUGUUUUAGUGUUGGACAAUAAAAUUUUGAGACCAAAAAAUAAAUAAUUCGAGACAAGAAAAUAUUGCAACAAUGAAUUUUAUUAAUUUCAAUGCGAGUGUUACAAUCUCUAUGAAUCCUCUGAUUCGUCUUUUCAAAUAUAAAUUCAAGGGCUUGAAGCUUAAUCUCGAAUUUGAACUUGAUUUGUUGGACUUGAGGGACUUGAUCUUGACUUGUGCUUGAAUUCAAGGGUUUUUGAGCUUGUUCUUGAAUAUUGCGGUCUAGAUCUUGAAUCUUGAUGAACUUGAUUUGAAUGCUUAAGCUUUUUAGAGAAAUUAUGGCGUUUGAUCCACGAACUUUCUCUUGCUACUUGUUAGAAUUCUGGGGUUCUGGGGGCCUUCUUUCUGAAUUAUGAGCCGCUAUUUAUAGUUAGGAAAGGAAGAGCCAUGAUGAAUAUGGACUUCCUUUGACCAAUCAGAUUUAAGUGAGGUGGCGCCUUUUAUGGGCUUUUAUUUCAUGGAUCUGCUGCAUUAGUUUGACAUGUGGUACAGUCCUAUCGGCUCCUUCACUUGACUUGGCAUGCCACGUCAUUUGACACAUGACGCUUAUUUGGGCCUCUAGAAUAUGUCAAUAUCUUGAGCUUAGUAAAGUGGGUUCAUCAUUUGUAGCCCAAAUUAAUGGAUUAACCCAAUAAAUAUUGGGCCUUAUUUAAAUCCAUACUUAUUUAGACUUAAAUAAUUAAUUCAAUUAUAUUAAUCCGCAAUAUUUAUUCAGGACUAAUAUAUUUUGAAUUUAAUAUAAUCCGAAUUUUGUACGGAUUUAAAUUUAAUAAAAUUGCAUCGCCCACAAAUGCUCUCUACUUCAAGACUUGUCGAGACAUUUAUUAUUUUGGAGACUAGCCUUGAAGUAUGAUUAUGUAAGCAUGUUUACUUCAUGCUUCAACGAUCCUCAUACCUAUGAAUACCUUAUUCAAAAAAAAAUUAAAGCCGAACCACAUUGAUAUUGCCUCUCAAAACUCUCUCAUUUUUUUCAUGAAUUUCUACACUUAAGACCCAUUGAUGAGGCAUGAUAUCUAAUUUCAAACAGAUUUUGGAAGACUUUUUCAUCGCCUUACUUAAUCAGGAAUAAAAAUCUUCCGAUUUGAACUUAGAUUGGAGAAGCAAAGAACCUCCAAUUUAAAUUUGUAUGGGAGAAGAAAAUAAUCUCCAAUUUAAAUUUAGAGAUGGAAGUUAUUCCAAUCUGAAUUUAUAUUAGAGAAGAAAACAAUCUCUAAUUUGAAUUUGGAGAUGGAAGCUAUUCCAAUCUGAAUUUAUAUUGGAGAAGGAAACAAUCUCUAAUUUGAAUUUGGAGAUGGAAAUUAUUCCAAUCUGAAUUCAUAUUGGAGAAGGAAACAUCCAUCCUUCAACAACUCUAUAAAAGGAGGUAGUUUCUCCACUUUUUCAAUAUCAAUUUUGGGGUUUCCAAGUCAUCAAUAAUAUUGAGGUAAUUUCUUUUGCUCCCACUUUUCUCUUAUUUUCGUCACUUUUUUUCAGCACAGCAUGUUAGUAGUAGAAAAUUCAUAUCUCAUUGUAGGAAUAUUGAAAUCAUGAUCUGUUUGAUAUUUCAGAAACUAGACUUCAAGAUCUACUACAUAUUCAAAAUUCAGAAUUAAAAUUCUUCAAUAUAAUUCUUGAUAAUUUUUUGAAGUUAGCCCUGAAUUUUAUCAUGUUGAAAAUUUCAGAUCUGCGCAUCUUUACUAAAACUUUCAUAUCUUGAAGUAGGAAGGAUGAAAUUACAAUCCACAGAAUUCUUGUAAAACUAGACACAGACAUCUAUAACAUAUCUAAAAUUCAUAAUUUAAUACAAUCGAGAUAUUUUCAGGUGUUAUCCCGAAAUCAACAUUGAGUUUUGAUGCAUCAACAAUUUCAGAUUUAUGCGACAUUACCAAAAAAAUUAUAUCUCAAUGUGAGAGUACCAAAAUUAUGAUCCGCUUGAUCCUAUAGAUGCCAGAAACAUGCAUGUAUAACAUAUCAAAAAUUUAAAUUUUAACACCUUUUUUAUUGUUCUAGAUGAUUUUUUGAAGUCCAUCUUAUAUGCUGUCCGAUAGAGGAUUUCAGAUUUGCAUUGUCUCACCAAAUAAUUUAUUUCUUGAUGUGGUACCAUCACCACCAAAGGGAGUUUUUAUUGCCUUUAACCAAAUUUUGAGGGUUUUAUUCUCAUCAAGGAAUCUUGUCUCAAUCCAAGUUGGUGAUAUACAACUUUCAAGAUCACAACGCUUUGAUAGGUAACAUCCUUUCUAUUUGUGUUUUUGAUUUCUUUCUUGUUUCCACUCUUUUUUAUUUGUUUUGUUUUUGGAGAAUUGAAACAGCGACCAAUUUUACUUGAAGACGAUGGACGUCAGCUUAAGGUGCGAGAGUUUAACUUCGCCUCCGUCACCUUAAGUCUGACCAAUUCUACUUGAAGACGGUGCAGUGAUUUUCUGUAAGUAUGGGCCCUUUUCAAUGUUCAGCUUAGGGUGCAAAGGGACAAAUCUUGUCCACCUUAAGGCAUGAAAAUUUCGAUAUCCUUUUAAGGAUAAACCCGUUAAAGGCCAGCUUAAGGUGCAAAGGGACAAUUUUUGUCCACCUUAAGACAUAAAAAUUUUGAGAUCCUUUUAAGGAUAAACCCGUUAGAGGCCAGCUUAAGGUGCUAAGGGAUAAUUUUUGUCCACCUUAAGGCAUGGAAGUUUUGAUAUUCUUUUAAGGAUAAACCCGUUAAAGGCCAGCUUAAGGUGCAAAGGGACAAUUUUUGUCCACCUUAAGACAUAAAAAUUUUGAGAUCCUUUUAAGGAUAAAUCCGUUAGAGGCCAACUUAAGGUGUAAAGGGACAACUUUUGUCCACCUUAAGGCAUGAAAAUUUCGAUAUCCUUUUAAGGAUAAACCCAUUAGAGACCAUCUUAAGGUGCAAAGGGACAACUUUUGUCCACCUUAAUCCAUGGAAACUUCAGUUACCUUUUAGUUAUAGGCUUGGAGAACUUUAGCAUUUCAAAUUCCAUUAAAGAAACUCUUUUUUUUUUUUCGACGGGUUGCCCCCAUUGAGUCACAAAAAUUUGGAGUAAGUCCAAAAUUAAAAUAGUUUCAUACUUGGCGUCCAUAUGACAGACACUGUAGGAACAUCUUUUUUUGACACUCAUGCAACUGAACUCUUAAUGAGAUUCCAAGCACCUAUGUACCUCAAUGAAGAGGAUCAAGUCACAACGUAGUUCUGGGUGAGUGUUUUUUUUGUGUGUGUGUCCUAACUUUUCCCUAGGCCGCCUCUUUCGAGGUUUUCAACCUAGCGGACUUUUAUUUUUUUUUUUAGCCGUACACAGUUUAUACUCUUACGGGCCAGGAGUGGACAUGCAGUUUAUACUCGUGUAUUAAGGAGUGCACAUACAGUUUAUACUCAUGCCUUAAGGAGUGUACAUGCAUUUUAUACUCGUGCCUUAAGGAGUGUACAUGCAGUUUAUACUCAUGCCUUAAGGAGUGUACAUGCAUUUUAUACUCGUGCCUUAAGGAGUGUCAUCUCCCUUCAAGGAUAGUACUUCUUCAAGAACUUGGCAUUGAUGGGGUCAAUCCUCACGCCAUCUGCAUCAACAAGCUUGUAAGAACCAUUUGAAUAUGCCUCUUAUACGACAUAUGGUCCAUCCCACUUCAAGCUGAAUUUGCCCCCAGAUUUAUGAGAAGUGAUAAUGGGCCUUCUUACUGCAAGAACUUGAUCUCCAACUUGGAAGCACCUCAAGCGAACCUUUUUGUUGAAAGAACGAGAUAGCUGGGAUUGAUAGCAUUCAAGAUUUUGUUGAGCCUCCAGCCUCUUCUCAUUAAGAACUUCUAACUCUGAAAGAUGCAACUUAGAAUUUUCUUCAUCGGUGAGCCCUUCUUGAAUAGCCAGUCUCAAAGAAGGUAUUUGAUGCUCAAGUGGUAGGACUGCUUCAACUCCAAAAGCAAGUGAGUAUGGGGUUGCUUGUGUUGGUGUACGGUAAGUUGUCCUAUACGCCCAUAAAACAUCUUUCAUUUGCUCAUGCUAGUCUCGUUUGGAUUUGGAGAUGAAUUUCUUCAACAAGUUGCAUAAAGUCUUAUUGAAGGCUUCAGCUAGACCAUUGGUGGCAGCAUGAUACAUUGAAGACUUAAGUUGCUUGAAGCCAAAGAGGUCACAAAUCUUGUUCAUCAACUUGUUAUCAAAUGGCUUGACAUUGUCAGUUAUUAUAUAUUGAGGGUUUCCAAAGUGGUAAAUGAUAUUCACUCGGAUGAAGUUCGCAACAUUUUCUUUCUUUACUUCCUUGAGAGCAACAGCUUCGGCCCAUUUUGAGAAGUAAUCUAUCUCAGCCAAGAUGUAUAAAUGUCCACCAGAAGACUUUGGUAGUGGACCAACAACAUCCAUUCCCCAAGCAUUGAAUGGCCAAGAUGCAGUUGGAUGUAGCACCUCUGGAGGUUGAUGUAUAAAAUUUGCAUGGAAUUGGAAAGUUUUGCAUCUUAUCGCGUAGUCCAAGCAAUCUUUCACCAUCGUUGGCCAAUAAUAUCCCAUCUUUUUAAUGUGAAAAUGGAGCUUCGGUCCAGACUGAUGUGAUCCACAAACUCCCGAGUGCGCUUCUUGCAAAGCUUAAAUUGCUUCUUCCUCUCCCAAAUAUCGUAAGAGUACUCCUUCAAAUGAUCUUCUGUACAGUGUGUCUUUGUAGUAAAAGAAGCGAGGUACACGACGACGAAUGUCAGUCUUUCUCCUUGGAUCUUCUGAAAGUAUCCCAUAACAUAAGUAAUCAAUAAUAUGUUGUCGCCAAUCUUCUUUUACAGCUUCAGACAUGGCAACGAGGCAUUCAACCUUGUUUCCACAUCCUCAUCUGACAGCGGUACUACCCAUUCUUGGCGGACAGUAACUUGGGUCUGAUUUGGAAGAGUUAGGGUUGAGGCUAGAGCAGCUAGGGCAUCAGCUUGCUUAUUUUUUCUCCUUGGCACAUGUUGAAGGGUUACUCCUCCAAGCCACCCCAUCAACUUCUGUAUAUAAUCAUGGCAUGGUCGCAGCUCAGACUUUCUGACUUCAUAGCUUCCCAAAAGCUGUUUGAUCACCAAUUGGGAGUCACCAAAGACUUGUAAUUACAGUUGCUUCAUGUCCACUACCAUCUCGAGUCCAAGUAUUAAAGCUUGAUAUUCAGCAACAUUAUUAAAGCAACGAUUUAUUAGGGUAAAAGAGUAUGGGAUGACCUCUUCUAGUGGAGUGAUGAAUACUACCCCAGCACCAGCUCCAUCUCGAUGUGCGGCACCAUCAAAGCACAUCUUUCAUGGGGGUCUAGCUUCAAUGACCAUUACAUAUUCAUCAGGAAGUUCAUCGCUCAGUUCCUAAUCAUCAGGUAUCGAGCGGUCUGCUAAGAAGUCAGCCAAUGCUUGUCCCUUUAUGGCCUUUUGUGGAACAUACACAAUCUCAAACUAUUGAAAUUGAAGGUACUAUCUUGCAAGUCGGUCACUAAGGACAGGUUUCGAUAUUACAAACUUGAUGGGAUUUGCCCUAGACACGAAAUGAACCACAUAAGCUUGAAAGUAGUGUUUCAUCUUUUGAAUUAAGAAGGCCAAUGCCAACCAUAACUUUUCAAUUGGAGAAUACUUUAGCUCCUUUGGUGUCAUCAUUCUGCUCAGAUAGUAAAGAGAGUGUUUUUUUCCUUUACUAUUUUCUUGAGCCAGUAGUGCUCCAACCGACCUUUCUUGUGCCGCGACAUAGAGUAUCAACGGCUUCCCAAGUAUGGGUGCCGCAAGAACUGUUGAUUUUAUUAAGUACGAUUUGAUACUCUCAAAGACAUUACUACAAGUUUGGUCUCAUUUGAAGGGAGUGUCCUUCUUCAUAAGACGACUAAAUGAUUGACAUUUUCCAGCCAGGUUUGAGAUGAACCUCCUUAAAUAUGCUAGCCUUCCUUGAAGGCUUUUUAACUCAUGAAUAUCCCGAGGAUCGGGCAUCUUCAAAAUUGCAUCAAUUUUAGCUUGAUCAAUUUCAAUUCCUCGGUGUCGCACAAUGAAGCCAAGAAAUUUUCCUGAAGUAACUCCAAAGGCAUACUUCAAUGGAUUCAUCCUAUGUUGAUAUCUUUGAAGUAACUCGAAUACCAUUUUUAGGUCUUUUAAGUGGUCGUCUCUCUUUCUUGACUUCACCACUAGAUCAUCCACAUAGCAUUCAACAUCUUUAUGGAGCAGGCCGUCAAAGAUGUUCUGCAUAGCCCUUUGAUAAGUGGAGCCAGCGUUCUUCAAAUCAAAAGGUAUCAUCUUGUAGCAAUAAAUACCUUUAGGCGUACGAAAUGCAGUGAGUUCUUCAUCCUUUGGCGCCAUACGAUUUGAUUGUAGCCGGAUGAACCAUCCAAGAAGGACAUUGCCUCAUAACCAAUGGUGGCAUCAAUCAUUAACUCCGGUAUGGGGAUUGGAAAAUCAUCCUUAGGGCAUGCAUUGUUGAGAUCUCGAAAGUCAACACAAACUCGAAUUUGGCCAUUCUUUUUCCGUACUGGAACAAUACUUGAAAUCCACGUGGGAUAUUUGACUUCACGAAUAAAGCCAGCUUCAAUAAGUUUGUUAACUUCAUUUUCGAUCAGUGGAACCAACUCCGACCUAAAGCGUCUUUGGGCUUGCUUAAUAGGACGAGCACCAUUCUUGACUGCCAACUGAUGGACCGCUACUUUUGGAUCUAAGCCAGGCAUUUCCUUAUAGCUCUAGGAGAAGACAUCCAUAUAUUCUUUGAGUAUGUCCAUAUAAGCGAUUUCUUCCCCUACUUCUAGAAACUCACUCAGGUAAGUUGGUCUUGGUUCUUCAUCGGUUCCAAGAUUAACUUCCUUUAAGGGAUCUAUUGUGGCCUUUACUCCUUCUUCAAGUUGUGAUAGAGUAUCUCCCGCAUCUUCCUCCUCUUGAGGAUCAUCGUCAUUGACAGAUAUAUGACAACACCAAAAGACAUUUUCUAUUUCUUCAUCAACCUUUAUUUGAGACGAGAUGUCUUUCUCGUUCUGAGUUGUAACAUGAUAUGAGGAGCCAACACUCUCUCCAUCUUCUUCGUGUUUCUUGGUAUAAACCACAGUAUGCGCCUUCGCUUUUAACACCUCGUUGCAUGAAACUACCAAUUCCGUCUGUCGCUUCAUUCUAGAAGGAAUCAAACUUUAGAAAUCCUUCUAGAUUUUAAAUGAAGAGUGAUGCAUCUUUCGUUAACGACUUCUUUGACUCUUGUUGUUUUUCUUCUUAUUUAUAGCACCCAGCCUUUCGAACACAGAAGUUCUUGCGGUUGAUUCUCCAAGUCGAUCAAAUACGGAGGAUCUUUUAUUAGCGGCAGUGGAUUCUUCUUCCACGUUGAUGUAAUUACUGACUGCCUUUCUUAUGGAGAUGUGAAUUGAAGGUGGCUGUGCGUAUCCUAGCCCUUCACGUGCUUGCCUGGUAUUACCCUCCGAUGGAAGUUUGCCCAACCUUAAUGGCUCAUUAGGAUUAUAUCCAGCCUUUACAAAUAGCUUGUAUGCAUUUGGAUCAAAUCCCUCUUUUGUACGCUUCGGAGGAAGUGCCAUAUCUGGUGGCGGAUUUUGAGCCACAGAUUCCCCAAGUAGCCUUGAGGAUGGAUUUAUUGCAUCAAUCUUCCUGAUAGGUAAAGUUAGCCCCUUUAGCACAUUAUCUUGGGCAUCAGGUGAGUGAUCUUCCUCUUUCUUUACCUUUGGCACGUAGCGAAGAACAGGAGUUGCCUUCUUUUUCGUAAGAGUGAUGCUUUCUUUAUUCGAAGUGAAGAAGGGCUUCCUGUUGGCGAAUUUUUUGAUAGUCUCUGCGACCUUCUUAGAUAGAAGAUCAUCACACUUGGUCUUGGUGACAUCUUCAAUCCUUUUCUUAUCUACAAUAUGAUUCUUUAAGUAGAAUUUUGCAUCAGCAAAAUGUGACUCAGCUUCAGUGAAUGGCUUGUCAUCGGCGACUAUCGCUCUUUCCACUCUGUUUUUGAGGUACUUCAAGCAUUGAUAGUAAGAGGACGAGAUAAUUUUGUUCCCGUGCACCCAAGGUCUACCAAGCAAUACACUGUAUGAAGUUUUGGCAUCGAUCACAUACAUCAAUGGCUUUGAUUAAAAAUCAUCCACACUAAUCUCCAACUUGAUACAUCCCAUGGCCCUAUGGCCCCCUUGGUUGAAGCCUUGGAUUAUUAUACAACUUUCGUCCAGUUCGCUAGUAGCGAUGCCAAGUUCCUUCAUCGUACGGAUAGGUAGGAUAUUGACUCUAGAUCCUUCAUCUAUCAAGAUUUUAUUGAUCUUCUUUCCUAGAAUUUAACCCACCAUGUAUAAGGGACGAUUAUGUAGGGUCUCACCAAGCAAAAGAUCAUUAUUUGUGAAUGUAAUUUUGGUAUCACACAUAUGUGCCUCUUCGCUAAGAGUUUCAUCCAACCUUUCGGAAACUGAAGGAACUUCCAUAGGUAGAUUUUCACCCUUUGCCCCCUCUUUGGAGGUAUUAAAACAAGACGCCUCAAGGUUGACUUGGGCAGUCUUUACACGAAUCCAACUCGGCAAGAAUUCCUCUAAAGUCACCGGAAGCCGAAGUUUUGGGGGUGAAACUCCGUCACCCUCGUCUUCUUUGGGAGUUCAACUAACUUCUGUUUCCUUAGUUUCUUUACCACUCUCCUUUCGGUUAGUUGUUCGUACGUAUCCUUUCGCAGACUCAUCUUCUUGUGUCUGCGUCUAGUCACUAGAGUCCAACCUUCAUCAUUUUCUUUGUCAACCGAAGAACUGUCAGGAUCUAAUAUCUCCUCAUUAUGCUCUUUGACACAAAUUUUAACCGGGUCGAGCGAGCCAAAAGUGAUAGAAAUUUGAUGAAAACUGGUUGUCUCAUCGUCGAAGAAGAUUUUCUUCUCUUUUGCCAGUUGCAUAACUCUAUCUUUAAAGACAGUAUUUCUCUAGAGGAUGACUUAUGAGCCUGUGAUAUUUACAAUAAUUAGUUCCGACUUCGUUGGGACGCUUCAUCUCUGGGAUUUUGAUGAGCUUAUGCUGAAGGAGUUAAUCGAAAAUCUCAGCAAAAUCAGAAUCAAGGAAGGGAUAUUCCUUUUCUUGCAUCUCCUUUAACGUUUUCUGAUUUGGAUGUGCUCCAGAAGUCAUCUUUACACUUUGCUUCUUGCUCACCUUUAUGGUGACUUUCACCGGAGACACAUCAACAUUCAUGGAUUCUUUGUUAUCAUUUUUUUGGGACAAACUUACCCCAUCUCUUGGGUUCUUACUUUUCCUUUCCCCUUCGAGGGUCAUGGAUAAGCUCUCCUUCCUUUCCAAUAGAAAACAUGCUCAAUUCCACAUCGUGAGCACGAGUAGCUAACUCUUCAUAGGAUUUUGGCUUAAUGCCUUCCAAGAUAUAGAGAAGCCCUCAGUACAUUUCUUGGAUGCACAUCUCUAUCGCAGAAGCUUCACUGAGCUUAUCUUUACAGUUUAGGCUAGCAUUUCUCCAUCGAUUGAUGAAGUCAAUGACUGGUUCGUCCUUUCUUUGCCGAGUAUUUGUGACCUCUACCAUGCUCAUUGUACUCCUUGUGCUAUAAAAUCGAUUCAAGAACUCAUGUUCCAAUUGCUCCCAACUAUCGAUGGAAUUAGGCUCAAGGUCCGUAUACCAAUCAAAGGCAUUUCCCUUUAGGAAACGAACAAACUGUUUGACAAGAUAGUCACUGUAAGUUCCAGCAUUAUUACAUGUCUCGACAAAGUGUGCGACAUGUUGUUUCGGAUUACCUUUGCCCUCAAAUUGUUGAAAUUUGGGGGGUUAAUAGCCGGCAGGCAUUUUGAGGCUAUCUAUUCUUGCAGUGUAAGGCUUGGCAUAUGCAAGGGAAGACUUGGUGACAAUAUCAUACUUGUCUUUGAGGAUCCCUUUAAUAAAUUCCCUCAAUUGCCCAAUCGGGAUCAUUCCCUCAGCAGAAACUUGCACCUCUUUAGUCGAUGGCGUUUGUUUCACAGGAUUUUCUAUCUCAUGAACCUCUGGAGCUUUUCCCUGCGCAUGGCUAGAUUCUCCGUCUAUCAAGUCUUCCACCAUAUCCACUAUCUUAUCAAUUUUAGCCUCUUGAUUCUGAACAUAGUUAGUCAGGCCUUCAAUUGCCUUUGUCAAAUUCGCAAGCUGCUCCUCCAUAGACGAGGCAUCAUUUACCAUUACUUGCAUGAUCACCGAAGAUGUUGGAGAGUAACACGGAUUAUCACAUAAGUUGAUUUUUGAAGUGCUUAGCUUAUGUGGAGUAAGUGGAGAUGAUGCAUUUGUUGAACGACCAUCGCUCUUGGCUCUAGAGUAUUUGGAACCAAAAUGCUCAAGUAGAGCUAAAGUCCUUUUCAGCGAUUCGGCCACACUGCUUCCUCCUUCUGAAGCACUUGCAUUGGAUUUCGUUCCUUUCGAGGUAGAAGAUCCAAAAACUGAAGCUGGAGCGGAUGACACUGGAUGUGUUUAUUGUCCUAGCAAGCCUGCCUUGCUUCUUGUGACAGCUCCCAGGCUUCCGAAAGUAACACCAAGGAUGCUUUCUACUUCAGCAGAGAACUUUGAUUCUACAGCCUUGGAAGCAGUUGAUUGAGAAUUGACCUUCUUGGAAGUCAUUUCGUUGUUCUUAAACUUCGAAGUAUGAAAAGUUGAGAUGAGAGGUAGAGAUCGUCCCACUGAGCGUGCCAGUUUGUUUACAACAUAAUUUAAAUUCAUGGAAAAUAAAUUUUAACCACAAACAAAAAUAUGAAGAAACAAGAAUUUUUUUAUUGAUAAACGAUUGUGGUUACAAAUCUGUUCCUCCCUUGAUUCUUCUCUCUUAAUUUCUCUCCGUAAUUUGAGGGUCGUCAGUGGCUUAUUCUCGAACAUAGGAUGAUUUUGUAAUUCGAGGGCUGUCAGUAGCUUAUUCUCGAACAUAGGAUGAUCUCUUUAUGAAUAUCUCAUGAUUUUGUGGGAUAUUGGAGAUCCUGAUCUUUUUACGAAUACCCAUCAUCUGAAUUUUUCUCCGUAAUUUGAGGGUUGUCAGUGGCUUAUUCUCGAACAUAGGAUGAUUUCGUAAUUCGAGGGCCGUUAGUAGCUUAUUCUUGAACAUAGGAUGAUCUAUUUAUGAAUAUCCCAUGAUUUUAUGGGAUAUUAAAGAUCCCGAUCUUUUUACGAAUACCCAUCAGCUUAUGGGAUAUUCAAGAUGGUUGAUCUUUUUACGAAUACCCAUGAGUUUAUGGGAUAUUCAAGAUGGUUGAUCUUUUUACGAAUACCCAUGAGUUUAUGAGAUAUUCAAGAUGUCUGUUUCAGGGAAUAUAUUACCCUUUAAAUAGGCGGGAUUUAAGGUAAAGUAGCCUCCUAGAACGCUAACAGAAUUUGAAUUCUUCUUGAAGAGUUCACAAAUUUUAGAUAUCUACAAAUGCCCCUACUUCAAGGCUUGUCGAAGUGUAGAUUUGAUGACGAGUCUUGAAGUACCAAUAGAGCUUCAAUCUUUAUGCGGUGGCUACAAAUUUGCAAAUCUGGAGAAAAGAUGUAGGGCAGAUUUGGUCCCACUGGGCGUACUAGAAUUUGUUGGACAAUGAGACCGAAAAAUAAAUAAUUUGAGACAAGAAAAUACUGCAACAAUGAAUUUUAUUAAUUUCAAUGCGAGUGUUACAAUCUCUAUGAAUGCUCUGAUUCUCCUUUUCAAAUAUAAAUUUAAGGGCUUGAAUCUUAAUCUUGAAUUUGAACUUGAUUUGUUGGACUUGAGGGACUUGAUCUUGACUUGUGCUUGAAUUUAAGGGCUUUUGAGCUUGUUCUUGAAUAUUGCGGUCUAGAUCUUGAAUCUUAAUAAACUUGAUUUGAAUGCUUGAGCUUUCUAGAGAAAUUAUGGUGUUUGAUCCACGAACUUUCUCUUGCUGCUUCUUAGAAUUCUGGGGGUCUGGGGGCCUUCUUUCUAAAUUAUGAGCCCCUAUUUAUAGUUAGGAAAGGAAGAGCCAUGAUGAAUAUGGACUUCCUUUGACCAAUCAAAUUUAAGUGAUGUGGCGCCUUUUAUGGGGUUUUAUUUCAUGGGCCUGCUGCAUCAGUUUGACAUGUGGCACGGUCCUAUCGGCUCCUUCACUUGACUUGGCAUGCCACGUCCUUUGACACCUAGAGCUUAUUUUGGCCUCUAGAAUAUGACAAUAUCUUGGGCUUAUUAAAGUGAGUUCAUCAUUUGUAGCCCAAAUUAAUGGACUAACCCAAUAAAUAUUGGGCCUUAUUUAAAUCCAUACUUAUUUGGACUUAAAUAAUUAAUUUAAUUAUAUUAAUCCACAAUAUUUAUUUGGGACUAAUAUAUUUUGAAUUUAAUAUAAUCCGAAUUUUGUACGGAUUUAAAUUUAAUAAAAUUGCAUCGCCCACACUUAGUGUUUAAACGUUCAUCCUCUAAGAAUUUUAGUGCGCGAAAAUUCAAAUCGCAUUAAAGCGCAACUUUUGAUUAAAAAUAUACAAAAACAACAACAUACCCAGUAAAAUCCCAUAAAUAAGAUAUGAGAAGGGUAAAAUUGACACCAACGAAUAAAAUCUCCUUGUGCUUCAGGACCCAAUAGUAACAACAACGAACGUGCUAAACUAUUAGUAGGAGUAGAAACUGCGGCAGUUAAAAAAUUGCAGCCUUCCAAAUAAGAACUGGCCAAUCCAUGGCUAUACCAUGAAGUUACAAAGGUGUGCCUAUGAACCAACCCCUACAGCGAAAUAGGCACAAGGAAAGAGCAAUAGACCAGACCAGCCUACAAAAACGAAAACGGUCCCUCCGUAACCAGUCAUCCAUAAUAUCAAAUAAAUCACUUUCGUCUUUGAUAAACUUACCAAUGGUCACUACCUCGAGAAGAUAGAGAGACUAUUUUUAAAAGCCCCCCGGCUCAAGUGCAGCAGCCUAAUUAAAAAAAAAAAAUUGAAAUUCCAAACUAUAUUCUUACAUGCCUUAAUCUACCGUUAAUUCCUCCUUUCAUCAACGGCCAAUCUCCACAAUCCACAAAAACCACAUCCACCCAAUAAAAAAUCUCCACGUGUACAAAUCCUCCAGCUCUCAAAUCCAACAAAUCUCAGCCGUCCAGUGAUCCUGAUCUAUUGAAAAUUACAAAAAUUAGGGGUGGCAUGGUAUGAUAUAUACCGAAUUACCAUACCGAACCGAAAUUUUUGAUACAGUGGUUUUGGGUAUUAUGGUAUUUGGUAUGGUAUAUGGUAUAUAUUUUAAAUUUUUUUAGUAUAUGGUAUGAUAUACGGUAUUUACAAAUGACAUACCGAAAUACCGAAUAUCAUACUGAAGUAUAUAUAGUUACAUAAGUAACUUAUAUAUAUAUAUAUAUACACACACGGAAAAAAAAAAUACUUAGUAUUAGUAUAAAAAUGUUUAGAUUUUAAAACUUACGCUACUCUAUCUUUGAUUGAAAUGUUUUUUUGGUGUAACUGGCUAAUAAAAGGAAUUGUUUGUACUUCAUUUUUAAUAUUUCUACAUGUGUAAUGUAUUUUUAUGAUGCAAUUAAGACGUGCUUUUGAAAAGUCGAAGUAAUAAUACUCUAGUAUACGUGUAUAUAUUGUCAAAGUUAAACAAACUAUGGUUAACGAUUAUCAUACCGCAAAAUACCAAAACCAAACGUCAAAAUACCGAACCAUACCGAAUUAAUAUGGUAUGAUAAUGGUAUAAUGUUUUUAAAAACCGAAACAAAAUUUUCUAGCAUGCAACUUUACAAAUAUACAUUGUAUAUGAAUAAUACACUCUGCAGUAUACAAUUUUUAUACAACUAGAGUUCUAAAUUUCCCUAGACUUCUAGUCAAUUUCAGCAUGUACAUAAUCAACAAAGAUGAAAUUCUUCUGCAGUUCAUGGAGAAUGUAUGCCAAUCCAGCGCUUAUAAUCGCUAACGAGCCCAAGAUAAUGCGUAGGUUAACGUCAGAAGGAAUGCCAGCGGUUGCACAGCACACGAGUACUGUGCCGAUUAGAAACUUUUGCAACCUCUCGAAUGUGUAGUAAGCAUUUCUGCAAGACGAACACUUGAGUGUAUGUUGCUCGAAUCUGUCCAUCAUCUGUAAAUUUACAUAUUUUCGAUCAACAAUAACAACAUACCUAGUAUAUUCCCACCAAGUGGGGUCUGGGGAGUGGAAGUGUACUCAGUCCAUACCACUGCCUCAAAUGUGAGAUAGAGAGGCUGUUUCCGAUAGACCCCACAUAUUUUCGAUCAAGCAUAUAGUAAAUCAAAUUGUUUUGGAUUAAGGCGUAGUAGUUGUUGUAUGCUUUUGGUAACAUGAAAAUUUAGUCGCGAUGGAUUGAAGAAAGAGUAGCGGGAUCGGAGUCCAAGAGUAGUACCUGGCGUUUGGACAAGACGGUAGAAGGCAGUGGUUGGUUGUCUGUGCUGCCGAACCAUUCAGGUUGACUAUUGCCAUGCCGUCUAAGCCAAUUUCGGAAAGCCAAGACGAAACGAUCAGCUUGAGUGGGUGUAAAUGUGAGUUUUGUAUAAUCCUUGUUGACAUCAGUACCAUUCUCUUUCGACUUUGAAAGAAAAAUCUUUUCUUGACCUUGAAGAACAAUCAUAUCACCAUCAUACACCUUAUUCGAAGUCCAGUGUUCUUGCCAUCUCGGAAAAACCUAUUGUCCGAACAUCAUGAAAAUUCCACGUCAUCAUUAUAUAAUCGUUAGCCUUCCGACACCCAACUGAACAAAAUCAACGUUAAUGCUACGACAACAAAUCAACUUUGAAGUCCGAAAAGAGACAAGCAGGAAAGAGUAUCUUAUAUGAUAGAUUUUGCACCAUGAAUAUGAGCUUCCAACUAAUGCAUUUGCGGUUUCUUCUAGACGAAGUAUCAGGCAACCAAGUUACGUUGAAAGAGAGAAGGAUUGCUAACACACACACUUUCCACUAUUUUUAACUUCACCGAGUCCCUCAUUUGUGUGCAUAGUUUGCAAAUCACAUGAGAGAAGACACUUGAUUUGAACUAGUCUCUACAAAAGUUGAUUUUCCCAAAUUGUGAGAUAAGAAAUGCACGGACCAAGUAAUAAUAUUUUUCUACGUUAUGCUGAUCUAUCGACAAAAUGAGAGAAAAGAUGGAGCUAUAUACCACCAAUAUGCUUUGGUUUUUUGGAUUUUGUAAGUAACAUUAAAUGUUUCACCACCUCAACCUCAUGUUCCCAAGAUUGAACUUGUUUACGGACAUGAAUGAACAACUUUCUUUUGUUUCCAAGGACCUCUUCCCAUUGUGUAAAGUUAUAUAAGAAAAUAUUGUACACCAUACGGCAAAAGCUAAUCUCUAGAUGAACAAAAAUACUUGUAGUAUUUAAUUGCAAACUCCAUUUUGUUUCCAGAAGGUGUGUAAUACAAGCGUAGAGGAGAUUGGCUGCGGAUCAGACACCACGAUUUUGAAUUAUUACCCUCUUUUCUGAAGCCGGCAAUCAGAUUUUGAUAAACAAUUGACAGAUAAAAUGUCGCUGAAGCACAUAAGCUGAGUCACUAGGAAGUAGGAAAGAUAGCACAUAGAAGAGCCGAAUUUCCACAGAUAAUUGUAAAAUGGGUGCAUUAUUACCUGCCACCAAGCAGGCCCGGGCACUGCAAACUGGAAGAAGUUUCGAGCACUGCAAACAAUUGAUCGGGUCUUUCCUGGUGCCAUUGGUACAUUGAAGGAACAAAUCCAUAUCACCCACUUCUGAUCUCCCACGAUUGGAAGCUUCGUGUCGAUCUCUAUUCUGUACAAAUUUCCAAUGAGACCUUAGUCAUACAGGUUGUCAAAUAGUUGCAGAAUGAAUGCAGCUAACAUUUACAUAGAACAGAUAAAUCAUGCAUGCACACCAAACAAGAAGGACAUGGCAAACUGCCAUUUAUCAAUGCCUGCAAAGCCUCGGACAAACGGGACCGUGCACCAGGUUUUGAAAGCUUUCAACCCAUGAUUUCUAUAUAAAAAUCUUUACACUAAAUGAUCAAAACAAUUACUAGCAUUUAUUAACCUUACAGAACCCAAGUGUUAAACGGGAUAUAAUGCCCACGGACAUAAAUACAUAAUGCUACUGAUCAACAACACCCAACUUGUUGGCAGAUAAUGGACUUCGUAAUCACUAAUAAUUGAUACAUUGCUUGCCUUGAUAGUCAAGAAAGAUGAUCUAUUUUAGGAUGAUGAACUUACUUAUUCAUGGAGUAACAAGGUGCGACAAAUUUUGCACUAAUUUUUGGUUUAUCAUUGUUUGCACCGGCAAAACCCCAGGGUCCAGAGGCCUCCAUCUUGAAUGGCAAGGGCUUGGCUCUAUCACGCCUUCCAGUAACCUGUAAAAUAUAAAUGAGUAUGCUAAAAGAAUUUCAUUGUUGGACACUGAGCAAGCUGCAGCAGUGGGGUAUGUAACAACCCCUAUGAUAAUAAAGGUUGACAACUUUAUUAGUAGUGUAUAUAACUGUUUAUUCCCAACGAGAUGCAUACGUAUAGAAGAGCUGAUUCUUGCCUUCUUGACUUCUGUCUCAAACCCACCACCAUCCUCUGAUUAAUCUUUUUUUUUUUUUUUUUUUUGAAACUGGUAAAUAUUGUAUUCCUCAGCAUUACGGGUAUGCUGGCGACCUCCAAAAAGUGUCCAUUACAGGCAUCCUCUGAUUGAUCUGUUUCCAUUUCUGAUUGGCUACGGUAACUGACAAGCCUUACCACUCCCUGAACUCUGCCUCUCUGCUAAGUUUUGCAUGAUCAAUAUCCUAUCCAGGUUUUCAGACGUCACUUGUUUAUUCCUUCUUGUUAUCUAGUUGUUUAGUACCAACUACCAAGUGCCCAACUAAAUAGACUACAUUCUAUUUUUAGUACAAAUUUACUUAAGCCCUUCAUUUUGAAUGGGAAGGUGUCUUAUCUAAAAGUUCAAUCACCUACAGACAUCAUCUCAACGAUCACAUAUCACUUCAUCAAAAGAUUAACUCACUUUUGUAUAUUUCACCUAUUAGUUUAAAUGAAUCUCUUAGAGACUCCAACUGGUAAUUGAUUGAUAUUUUCUUUUUAGGACCUUGCUAAUCUAAGCUGUGACGACUCUUCACUUUUGAUGUUGCACCCGUGUCGGAUUCUCCAAAAAUGCACUAGUUUUAGAGAAUCCCAACGUACCCACCGACAUUUUUGAACAGUCCGAGCAACAUAGCGGCUAAUAACUCGGGUCAACUAUAGUGAUAUGGAAGGAGUCUCCAUAGCAUAGUUAGGAAGUGGCCAUAUAAAAUAGUGGGACAAACAAGUUUAUACAGUUAAGAGCAUCAGUUUGCUGAUUAUUGAGCUUAAUCUUUGAUCGUUCGUUGAAGGUCCCAGUCAAGGCUAGUAACCAGUUUGCACUCAGUCCUUAUCGCAAACUAGUGGAACUCAUUUCAGUUUGAGCUUUCUUACUAGUUUGAACAACAUAUCAUGCUGGUCUAAUACUAACGCUGAACUCAGAUCUACCCUGCAACGAGUAGAGCAAAACUUGAUCUAUGCUUGAAAAUUAGUCAAGCUGAGUUUGAGACACUAAAUUAGAAGUCACAGGGGAACAAAUGUUGCAUACUUACCUUGUGAUGCGCAAAAUCAAUGUGAGAAGGAUCAGAGACGUUCUCCAUGAGAGUGUCAUAGCCAUAAAACAAAUCACGCUGAAUUGUCACUGUUGCAAACUCUGGCUUAUCAAAAUCUUCAGGCAACCUAGAAAUAUCCCAUUAAACAACUAAUCGAAAUUAUUUUAAUUCCACUAAGAGUAUAGGCAAGGUUACCGAUUAUAAUAUAAACCAAAUCAGCCUCAUUAUCUCGAUCAAUGAGUUAAUAACUUUUUUUUCGUGAAGGGGAAAGAAAUGGGAUUAACCACACAUGAAGGACAGAGGGCCUCAACCCACUGAGAUACCCUCUCAGCUCACCAAAUCAGCCUUGUCAUUGAACAACAGCUUAAUAAAAUACAAACAACGUAUUAAACAAGUCACUAUAGUAAAGAUAACCGAUUUGUAUAAUAUAAACUAAGUACAUAACUGAUUAGUAUAAUACAAACUAAGUCCCUAUAGUAAAGACAACCAAUUAGUAUAUAAUAUAAACUAAGUCACCAUAGUUACAGAUAACCAAGUAGUAUAAUAUAAACAACGUCACUGUAGUAAAAGAUAACCGAUUAUUACAAUAUAAACUAAGCCCCUACAGUAAAGAUAACCAAUUAGUAUAAUAUAAACUAGGUCACUAUAAUUACAGAGAAGUGACUAGUAUAAUAUAAACUAAGUUACUUCAGUAAAAGAUAACCGAUUAGUAUAAUAUAAACCAAGUCCCUAUAGUAAAGAUAACCAAUUAGUCUAAUAUAAACUAAGUCAGUAUAGUUACAGAUAACUGAUUAGUUUAAUAUAAACUAAGUCACUAUAGUAAAGCAACCAAUUAUUAUAAAUAUAAACUAAGUCACACUAUAGUAAAGAUAACCGAUUAGUAUAAUAUAAACUAAGUCACUAUAGUAAAAGAUUGGCUAUUAGGAUAAUAUAAACUAAGUCACUAUAAUAAAGACAACCAAUUAGCAUAAUAUAAUAUAAACUAACUUCACAUGAUUACUAAACAACGUAGUAGUUUAAUAAACUAAUCAAGAAUCAACGGAAACUUACAUAGGGGGCUUUGUUGCCUGAGCUCUCUCCCAACCAUUCUCGUCAGGCCAAACAAAGAGUAGUCCUUGUGAAACCAUAGUAGGAAAUCUAGUAGCAGUGGCCCUCGGAGACUGAAACGCUUUAGCUUCAGGUCCUUCAGAUGCAGCUUGAGGAAUCCUUGUACAAGAUCCGCAACCGUUAAAUGACCAUCCAUGAUAUGAACACUGCAAAUGCCCAUUUUCAUCUAAUCUCCCUUCCUACAAACAAAAACGAAAAAAUACCCAUACAUCAAAACCAUCAUUUUUUUUUUCCAAUUUUUAAGGAGUGAAGUAUCUUUAUUUUUCAAGUUUCGUAUCUGAACUAUGUGUGCGAGUUUCCUAACUAAACUAUCACCAAUUAUUUAUCGAAACCUAAGCGGCGCAGACUCUUCACUUUCAAUGUCGCACCCGUGUCGGAUUCUUCAAAAUACACUAGUUUUGGCGAAUCUGACAUGCACCCAUUGACAUUUUUGACGAGUACGAGCAACAUACAUCGAAACACACCCAAUUAUCAAUUAUUCACUUUCCUACCUAAAAUAUCAGCAUCCUUCAAGAAGGAAAAGUGAACAAUCUAGCUGAACUAUCACCAAUAAUUUAUCAAAACGCACCCUUAACUCUCAACUAUUCAGUUUUCCUACCUGAUAUAUAUUAUUGUUGUCCAUGUAGGAAAAGUGAAGUACAACAACAAACCCAGUGUAUUCCCACUUUGUGGGGUCUGGGGGGGGUAAGAUGUACGCAGUCCAUACCUCUACCUCUGAUGAAGUAGAAAGGCUGUUUCCGAAAGACCCCCGGCUCAAGUUACGAGAUAUCAAACAAACACAUAGUACAGCACAGAAGCAGAUGACAUAACAUAGAUACUGCAGCCAUAAGGAAUAUAAAACAGAGUAAAGCAGGAAUGCAGGAAUAUAAAGCAGAGGAAAGCACACAGAUUCGUAACAAACAUAGAACACGGAACACGGAACAGAACAUUGAAUACGGAAUCAUACCCGGAAUACACCCCCACCAAUUACCUCCCUACAUUAGCGACCCGAACAGGCCCUAAUCCUCUGCCGUAAUUCGCGUCUUCCAGACCUUCCUAUCUAGGGUCAUGUCCUCGGUAAGCUGUAACUGUUCCAUGUCCCGCCUAAUCACCUCACCCCAGUACUUCUUCGGUCUACCCCUACCCCGUCUAAAACCAUCCAACGCUAGCCUCUCACACCUACGGACCGGGGCAUCCAUGCCCCUCCUCUUCACGUGUCCGAACCAUCUCAAUCGUGCUUCCCGCAUCUUACACUCCACUGAAGUCACCCCAACCUUCUCCCGGAUAGUCUCAUUCCGAGCUCUAUCCCUUCGGGUCAGUCCACACAUCCAGCGCAACAUCCGCAUUUCUGCCACCUUCAUUCUUUGGGUGUGGGAGUUCUUAACUGGCCAACACUCCGCUCCAUACAGCAAGGCCGGACGGACUACCACCCUAUAGAAUUUACCUUUAAGCUUGGGCGGCACCUUCUUAUCACACAGCACCCCCGAUGCAAGUUUCCACUUCAUCCAUCCCGCCCCGAUACGGUGCGAGACAUCCUCGUCAAUCUCACCGUUACUCUGGAUCACGGACCCGAGGUACUUGAACUUAUCCCUUUUCUUUACCUCCUGCGCUUCUAGCCUCACCACUACCUCAUUCUCUCGCCUUACGUCAUUAAACUUACAUUCCACAUACUCUGUCUUGGUUCUGCUCACCCUGAACCCUUUAGACUCCAGAGUUUGCCUCCACAGCUCUAAUUUGUCGUUCACACCCCCUCGCGUCUCAUCUAUCAGGACUACAUCGUCUGCAAAAAGCAUACACCACGGCACCUCCCCUUGGAUACGCCGCGUUAACACAUCCAUUACUAGCGCAAACAAAAAGGGACUAAGAGUAGAUCCCUGAUGCAAUCCUGUCAGGACAGUGAAAUGCUCUGAGUCUCCUCCCGCCGUCCUCACCUGGGUUUUCGCUCCCUCAUACAUAUCCUUAAUUACUCUGCUAUAUGCCUGCUAUAGGAAAAGUGAAGUAUCACCAACUAUUUAUCAAAAUACACCUUAACUAUCAAUUGUUCAAUUUCCUACGUGAAAUAUUACCAUCAUCAGGUGGAAAAAGUGAAGAAUCACCAAAAUUAUUUACCGAAACACUGCUUGUCUAUCAAUUAUUCAUUUUUUCUACCUGAAAUAUCAACAUUGUUCAGGUAGGAAAACAAACAAUCAAUAGGUGAGAUAUGUUUUGAUAAAUAAUUGGUAAUAGUUUAGGUAGAAAAUUCGCACACAUGAUACUUCUGCUACAAAACUCAAAGUAUUGGAAUACCUUUGCGGUAUUUUUGAUCAUUAACACAUCUAAAGACUAAAAUAUCUCGAUUUUUCAAAUUUCAUACUUGAUAGUAUCACGUGUAUGAGUUUUCUACAUGAACUAUCACCAACUAUUCAUCAAAACACAUCUCAACUAUCAAUUGUUCACUUUCCCUACUUGUAAUAUCACCCAUCGUUCAACUAAGAAAAGUAAAACAGUUAAUACGAAACUCAAAAAAGCGGGACACUUUAGCAGUAUUUUUGAUCAUUUAACUCAUUUGUAAGCAAAAUAGAGAAGUGGGGUGUAUUGGAUAUUUACAGAUAGCGGAGCAAAACAAUGAGGGCAUUUAUCAUCUAAAGCAACCCACAGAGACCCAGAUUUAUCAAACCAAAGAACGAUAUCCCUAUCAAGUAGCUGAAAGGGUGUAUGCAAAGUAGCGUCAAGAUCUUCAACAGGUGAAACUGGAUACCAGUUAUCCCUCCAAAGAAAACUUCGAAUACGAAGACGAAUCUUGUUUAUCAUCUACCGUAUCACGUGUACGAGUUUACUAUCUAAACUAUCAACAAUUAUUUAUCAAAAUACACCUCAAUUAUUCACUCCUUUUAUAGCUGACAUACUACCAUCGUUUAGGUAGGAAACAUGAACGGUUGAUAGUUCAGACAAGACACUCACACACCUCGAACUAUCACCAAUAUUUAUCAAAAUAAGCCUCAAUUAUUCACUCUUUUUCUAGCUGAAAUAUUAACAUCGCUUAGGCAGGAAAAGUGAAUAGUAGAUAGUUCAGAAAACACACUCACACCUAUCACGUAUACGAGUUUAUUACCUGAACCAUCACCAAUUAUUUAUCCAAAGCACGCCCCAACUAACACUUAUUCGCUUUUUUCUAGCUGAAAUAUGACCAUCGUUCAGGUAGGAACAACACACUCACACACCUAUCAUGUGUACGAGUUUUUUACCCAACAACAACAACAACAAAAAACCCAGUGCAUUCCCACCUGGUGGGGUCUGGGGGGUAAGAUGUACGCAGUCCAUACCACUACUUCAAGAGAAGUAGAAAGGUUGUUUCCGAUAGGCCCCCGGCUCAAGACAAGUCCACACCUAGUUUGAGUUUUCUACCCAAACUAUCACAAAUUAUUUAUCAAAAUAUACCUCAACUAUCAACUAUUCACUCCUUUUCUAGCUAAAAUAUUACCAUCGUUUAGGUAGGAAACGUGAACAAUUCAUAGUUUGGACAGGACACUCACACACAUAUCACGUGUACGCAUUUUCUACCUUAACUAUCAAAAUACACCUCAACUAUCACUUAUUCACAUUUUUUCUAGCUGAAAUAUAGCCACCGUUCAGGUAGGAACAACACACUCACACACAUACCACGCGUACGAGUAUUCUACCUGAACUAUUACCAAUUAUUUAUCAAAAUACACCUCAAAUCACUUAUUCACUUUUUUCUAGCCGAAACAUUACCAUCGUUCAGGUAGGAACAGCACACUCACACACCUAUCACCAGUACGAGUUUUCUACCUGAACUAUCACCAAUUAUUUAUCAAAAUACACCUCAACUAUCAAUUAUUCACUUUUUCUAGCUAAAAUAUUAAUCCUACCAUCGUUUAGUUAGGAAACGUGAACAGUUGAUAGUUCAGACAGGACACUCACAUACCUAUCACGUGUACGAGCUUAUUACACGAACUAUCACUGAUUAUUUAUUAAAAUACACCUCAACUAUCAACUAUUCACUUUUUUAGCUGUUCAGGCAGGAACAGCACACUCACACACCUAUCACCAGUACGAGUUUUCCACCUGAACUAUCACAAAUUAUUCAUCAAAAUACACCUCAACUAUCAAUUAUUCAUUCUUUUUCUAGCUAAAAUAUUACUCCUACCAUCGUUUAGGUAGGAAACGUGAACAGUUGAUAGUUCAGACAAGACACUCACAUACCUAUCACGUGUACGAGUUUAUUAACUGAAGCUAUCACUGAUUAUUUAUCAAAAUACACUUCAACUAUCAACUAUUCACUUUUUUAGCUGAAAUAUUACCAUCGUUCAGUAGAAAACUCGCACACCAGCUUAUUACCUAAACUAUCACUGAUUAGUUAUCAAAAUACUCCUCAACUAUCAACUAUUCACUUUUUUAGCUGAAAUAUUACCAUCGUUCAGGUAGAAAACUCACACACCUAAUAGUUUUAGUUUAGUUCAGCUAUGAAACUCAAGAAACCGAGAUACUUGGAAGAUAAAAUCAUUUCAAAGCAAAAUAGAGAAGUGGGUGUAUUAGAUAUUUACAGAUAAUGGAGCAAGACGAUGAGGGCAUUUAUCAUCAAGCACAACCCACUGAAACCCAGAUUUAUCAAACCAAAUAACCAUAUCCCUAUUAAGUAACUGAAAUGGUGUAGGCAAACUUGGAUCAAUAUCUUCACCAAGCGAAACUGUAUACCAAUUAUCCCUCCAUGAAAACUCCGAAUACGAAGACGAAUCUUGUUCAUCAUCUACUGUAUCACGUGUACGAGUUUAUUACCUAAACUACCAACAAUUAUUUAUCAAAAUACACCUCAAUUAUUCACUCUUUUUCUAGCUAAAAUAUUACCAUCGUUUAGGUAGGAAACGUGUACAGUUGAUAGUUCAUACAGUUCAGACACGACACUCACACACCUAUCAGAGGUACGAAUUUACUGUCUCAUCGAUCAACAAUUAUUUAUCAAAAUACACCUCAAUUAUUAACAUCGUUUAGGUAGGAAACGUGAACAGUUGAUAGUUGAGACAGUUCAGACAGGACACUCACACACCUAUCACGUGUACGAGUUCAUUACCUGAACUAUCACCAAUUAUUUAUCAAAAUACACCUCAAUUAACAAUUAUUUAUCAAAAUACACCUCAAUUAUUAACAUCGUUUAGGUAGGAAACAUGAACAGUUGAUAGUUGAGACAGUUCAGACAGGACACUCACACACCUAUCACGUGUACGAGUUCAUUACCUGAACUAUCACCAAUUAUUUAUCAAAAUACAACUCAAUUAUUCACUCUUUUUCAAGCUGAAAUAUUACCAUCGUUCAGGUAGGAACAACACACUCACACACCUAUCACGUGUACGAGUUUUCUACCUGAAGUAUCACCAAUAAUUUAUUAAAAAUACACCUCAACCAUCAAUUAUUCACUUCUUCAGCUGAAAUAUUACCAUCGUUCAGGUAGGAAACUCGCACACCUGAAACUCAAGAAAACCAAGAUACUUGGAAGAUAAAAAUCAUUUCAAAGCAAAAUAGAGAAGUGGGGUGUAUUAGAUAUUUACAGAUAGUGGAGCAAGACGAUGAGGGCAUUUAUCAUCAAGAACAACCCACUGAGACCCAGAUUUAUCAAACCAGAUAACCAUAUCCCUAUUCAGUAGCUGAAAUGGUGUAGGCAAACUUGGAUCAAGAUCCUCAACAAGCGAAACUGGAUACCAAUUAUCCCUCCAUGAAAACUUCGAAUAUGAAGACAAAUCUUGUUCAUCAUCUUGUAUAACAGUACUAGUAGAUGAUUCUUGUUCUUCAAUAGGUGGUGUUGUUGGAGGUGCAGAUACUCUAAGUGGUAUAAUUGGCCUGUCUUUUCUUGUUUUGAGUUGAAGAAAAUUGUGGGGUUUGGUGAUUGGGAGUGAAGAAUGAACGGAAGAAGAAAUUGAAAGAGUUGGUAAUGGUGAGAAUACUAACAUACAAGAAGAAGAAGAAGCCAUUGAGUUGAUUCUUAUUUUUUUUGUUUUUGAGUUACUAAAACGUAUAAUAUAUAUAUAUAUAUAUAUAUAUUCAAGAUUUUCAAUGGAAGAAGGCUUUGCGUGUAAGAUAUGAACAAUGUGUUGAAUUAUGUUUGGUCUGUUUUUUUACGGUGUGCGGCGGAUGGGGAUGCUCCUUCCUUAAUCAGAAGAGAUUUCGGAUUUGAGUUCUGGGUAUGAAAAAAUUCUUGGUAAAAAGCGUUUCUCCUCGAAUGGGGUCCUAUGCAGCGCGAAUUUGGAUUAGUCGGACUCCAAUGUGAGUACCGACUAAUUAUGUAUCAUUAUUUUCUUUUUGGUCCGUCCCAAAAAAAUGUCGUCUUUACUUAUUUGAUAAAUUUUUAAAGACACAAUUAUAAUUUUACCCUUAGUUGUCUCACUUGAUUUUAAAAAUUAUUAUUCUUUUUUUUAUUUGUCUUUUCAAUUAAAAGUGGUUUCACUUGAAUUUAACUACUAUUAUUCUUUUCUUUAAGAAGGGUAAUUUUAUAACUUUAACAAAGUCGAUACUUAUUUCUUAAAUAUCGUCUCCAAUCAAAUAACCACACAUAAUUUGGGACGGAGGUAGUAUAUGUUUGUAAAGAGGGUCCAGAAAAUAAAAGCUUUUUAUUUUUAUUUUUCAUCCGUAGCGCUUCCUACCAAAAAUUUUUCAUACUCAGACUCCUAUCAAGACAAUUAAGGAGGAGGAACCCAUUUAUUUUUACUCUUUAUUAAAUUACAAAUAAUUCUUUAUUUUGCAAUUUCAGAUACAUAAUUAACAUUCGAAUGCAUAAUUUUAAAAUAGACAUAAAUAAUAGCAUUCACAUACAGAAUUUUGAAAUAAAGAUACAUAAUUUUGAACUUUUAAAAAUAUAGCAAUUAAUUACUUCAUUUUUUUUCUCGAAAACAUUAUUAGCAUCCAGAUAUAUAAUUUUGAUUACCAAUAUACAUCAAUUUCUGAAAUUAUGUAGUUGAGAUACAUAAUACAUUAAUUAGACCAGAGAGAGAUAUUUGGAAAUUUAUGGUUAAUAGAUGUUUUUAGAAACAAAAAAAGAUUUAGGAAAUUAAUAGAAAAGGUAUGAAUUUUAUGUAAUUUAGUAGAGAUAAACUGUGAUGUUAUGUAAUUUUUUAAAAUUUCUUUCGAUACGAGGGAUAACGGAUAAAUAAUACCAAAAUUAGUUUUAGUAUGACUUAUUUUAUACAGAGAUAAAACUACAAAAUAACUUAAUGAGAAAAUGGUUUAUUACCCUCCCAACCUUUAGUCGAAAUCUCAACUACACACUCAACUUUUAAAGGUGACCUAUUACCCCCUAAACUUAUUUUUACCGAAUUUAUUACCCUCCCAGUUGCUGACGUGUCAACGGACGUGACUACACCGCCCAUGACCGCGUCAGUUGAGUCCAUUUCACUUAAAAUUCUUUAUUUUUUGAUUGCCACAUCAUGUCUUCAUCUUCUUUUUUCAAAACAAAAAACUCAUUAAUGAAAUUCUUCAUCUUUCUUAUCUCCAAAUUUUGAUUAAUGGUGUUUUUUGAUAAUUUGAAAAAUGUUAUUACCGAAACCAAGAAACACUUGAACUAAGGAAACAAUAAGAUUUCUCCGAUUAAUGAAUUCUUGAAUGAGGAAUAUGAGGAAUUCCGAUUCAAAAAACUUGCAAAAAUUCAAGAAUUUUGAUUUCCUCUCCUUUUGCUCAAGAUCGCCAUUAAUGGCGAGUUCAAAGCUUUGAAUUUUCACAAUGCCAUAUAUAAUUUCCAACAAAACCCACGUACAAUUUUCAACUCAUUUCUCCAAUUUUCUCUAUUUUUGCUCAAGAUCCGCCAUUAAUGACAAGCUCAAAGCUUUAAAUUUACACAAUGUGGGAGAAUUCGCCCUUAAUAGCGAUCUUGAGCAAGAAGAGAUGAAAAGCUUUGAGGAGCAUUUAUCCGUCAUUAAUGGGUUGAAGAAGAACAUACGUGUGUAUGUGUGAGGUACAUUUACACACUCAUUUUCUAUUUUUGACCCAAGAAGAUGAAGAAAAUGGAGCAAAAUGGAAGAAAAAAAGAAAAUAAUAAUGUCAAAUAAUUAAUUUUUUUAGAGUAAAAAAAAAAUGAUGUGACAUGAUGUGGCAGCGCGUGCAUCACACCACAUGCCCAAAUGACUAGUUGUUGGUUUUCAAGAGGGUAAUAAUUUCACUUUAAAAUAGUUCAAGGGCGUAAUAAUUUCACUAUAAAAUAGUUCAGGGUACCUCAGCAAAGUGUAAGUGUGUAGUUGAGAUUUGAGGUAAAGGUUGGAAGCUUUUGACCAUUUUCUCUAACUUAAUUGAAGUGUUGUUCUUAUCGAUUCCAAAAUAAUUAAUUAAUCAUGUGAAAUAACUUAUUUCCCAACGAAACGAGCCCACGGGAAGAGACAAAUGUUUAUAACUAAUGAAGUAAUUUAAGAUUAACAGUUGUAUGGAGUAAGAAACUUUAAUACUGUAGUCAAAAAUUAAAGUAAGAAUCAUAUCACUUAAUUAAUUUUAAAUAAGCGUUGAAAUAUAUAUUUCUUUUUCCAAUUUAUGUUUUUAUUCCUUAUUUAAGAAGAUGUUAAGGAAUAUGGUAAAGGAAAUCUCUAAUAUAUUUUGGACAGUAGUGGAGUCAAGAUCAUCACUAAGAAAAUUCACAAGUAAACGUACGAACUAAUCGAAGGAAUUCAACAUCUACUAUAUAUACAUAAAAAAUAAUUUUUAUUUAUAUAUAGAGAGAAUAUAAUUUUCUGCCAAAGCGAAUUCGGAUGAACCUGGCCCAAGGGUAGCUCUAACCCCUGGUUUUGGACAAACAGGAAGAAGAAAAUGAGCUUGAAAUGUCAUUUAAAGAAGUCAUUUUUCCAACAUUCUCACUAAUAAGAAAGUCAUUUUCAAAGUAUGGAAAAAUAUGAAAACACAACCUUAGUAGUAGUAAUUUUGUUCUUUGCUUUUCUUUUAUGGAAAAAUAAAUUUAGCUUCAAUAUAAAGGUUGUAUUCCCAUCAAUAUUUUGAGAAAAAAUCAAUUUUCCCCCCUCAUUUUCAAACCUCUUAUUCAAAAUUCUAGCUCAAUGGAUGAAGCAUAUCACACAAAAACCGAACCGACCAAUAAAUCGAACCGAUAAAAAUGUUAUUGAUUUAUUGCUAUUGAGUUAACGGUUUGUUAAUGAUUUUAUAAAAAAAAUUUAUUAGGUUAUUGAUUCGGUUUGAUUUUUUCUUAUUGGGUAGACCGAUAACCCAAUAAGAAUAUAUAUAUGACUUAUUAUAUAUUUCUCUUUAAUUUCUACCAAUUAACAAACCUAUUAUUCCAAUUAUACAAACUCUUAAUUUCUUCUAACAACAUUUAGUUCAAACUUGAAGAUUCUUGUAAAUUAAAACACAUUACGUAGGAUUUUUAAUUGAAACUAAGAUGUUAAUUACUACUAUUUUUAUUUUAUGAGUAUUUUCUUAUCGGUUAAACCGAAAAUCGAACCGUUAAGAACUAAAAAUCGAUGAACUGAAAACCGAUAAAAAAUAUCUUAUUGAUUUGGUUAUUGGUUUAACAUAUUUAAAAACCGAUAAAUCGAACCGAUAAUAUAUAAAAUCGAACCGAACCGACCGAUGCACACCCAUUAUUACAUAUAGUUGUUUCUGACCAAAAAAUUCACUGAUAAGCAACAUCAAGUUAUAUGUCUGAAAGAAUAUUAGAAAAGCGUCAAUCUUUCGCUGCUACUUUCUUUUUUAUAACAGUAGCGUCCAGGCCAGACUGCUCAGCGACCACUCUCAAACAUGCAAAUUUUCUCCGAGAGUGUAACACGGUUUCAAUAACGAUGGUGUCCAGGUCAGCUAGGGCGCUCCUCGAUCACUCAAACAUACAAAUCUUCUAAAGCAAACUAAUUUCUAACCAAGAAAGAUGUUAUUUCUUAGUGUAUGUUUGGUGAUCAGGUCCAAUAUCACGCGAUCCUGUGUUGAUGUAAGGACCGCGAAAGGUCGCUUGGGGUGGCAACGCCUUUGAUGAAUCGAUGACUGGAGUUGAUCUUGAUGAUCUUGACCUGAAUUGCAACAAUCACAACUUUCAAUUAAGCAAAAACUAUGAAAGAACACAACUUUAUUUUUUGACAGACAAUGAAGUUCUGCUUACGCCAUGUAAAACGGAAAGGAUAAGCCAGCAGCUGCAAAGACUAGCAAGCCUGUGGCAACAAUAGCAUUGCGCUUGCGAGACAUCAAGCGAGAUAAAGCAGGCGGUUUCAGUAUCUAACAAAAGGAAGAGAAAUAAGCGAGAGCCAGAAAAUAGAUAUAUGCAGCAUCUUUAUUAGAGAAUCUUCCUCGAACCAAAUAUGAUUUCGACGCAAAAGACUAUUUAUCCAGAUAACCAAAAGAAUUCAUGUCUAUACAUAACAGUUUCAAAGUUUGCUUGAACAAUAUUCACACGAGUUAAGAGACCCCAAAGACGACAACAACGACAACAUAGCCAAGUGGGGUCUUAGGAAAUUAGGAUGUACACGGACCUUACAUCUCUGCCUUUGUAGGAUAGAGAGGUUAUUUCCGAUAGACCCUUGGCUCAAAACAAAGGUAACUGAUGCAGGAAAGUAGAAGAAAAAAGCGAACAAAAUAGCAAUGUACAAAACGGCAUGAAUAAUAGGAAUACAUUCAGGCACACCUUCAAAGUAUCUUACUUCUAUACGUAACAGUUCAAAGUUUGCUUGAACAAUAUUCACAGGAGUUAAGAGACCUCAAAGACAACAACAACGACGACAAGAUAGCCAGUGUAAUCCCAAAAAUGGGGUCUAGGGAGGUUAGGAUGUACACAGACCUUAGGAUAGAGAGGCUAUUUCCGAUAGACCCUUAGCUCAAAGGAAAGGUAACUGAUGCAGGAAAGUAAGAAGAAAAAGAGGAAAAAGAUAGCAAUGUACAAAACCGGUGUGAAUAAUAGGAUUUCGUUCAGGUACACCUUCAACUAUCUUACUGCUACACACAAUAGUUCAAAGGUCGCUCAAACAAUAUCUAUAUAGGUUAAGAGGUAUCCAAGAUGGCAUGAAUGAUAACAUUGCAUUAAGAACACUUGCAACGUAUCAUGCUGCUAAGUGAUGCAGGGGACCGAGGCUUCCUCUUUUGUACUAAUGACAACAAUGAUUUUAUUUCAUAAUCAGUUGGAUUGUGACCGAUUGAGUUUUAUAUUCGGACUUUUUUAUCAAUUUAUUGAAUUCAAAUUACAGCUUCAAAGAAAGAUUUUCAAAUGCCACAUUUAACGCUGAUAUCACAAGACAAGACAGAACAGAAAAAUCCUUUGACUGUACUCUUUUCACUUAAAACUAUGGGUACAAAUACUAAAAUAAAUGAUGUUCUUUAAUAUACCUUUGUUUUGUCAAAGAUAUGAUUAGUAGAUAACAUCUAUAUAUCUGGAAACUGACAAAUUUGGAUCCACUAUAACUCCUAUUUGUGAUGGAAUUAUUAACUAAGCUAUUAGAAAAGUCUUCCAACGCACCAAAGAAUGUGGCCUAGCGGCCAAUGAAGUUAUUGCGAACUUCGUAGACUAGUGUCAAAUCCCAACAGAGACAAAAAACUCUAGGUGUUUUUUCCAUCUACUAAACCUAGGUUAGCAAACUCAACUAAUAUACCUAUACAACAACAACAAACCCAGUAUAUUCCCACAUAGUGGGGUCUGGGGAGGUUAAAAUGUACGAAGUCCAUACCACUACCCUCGAAGGAGUAGAGAGGCUGUUUCCGAUAGACCCCCGUCUCAAGACAAAAGACCAUAGAUCAACAGUCGUGCAACAUGAUAAAGAACAAAGAAACAACAUCCACAAAAAUAAAGUAUAAUUAACCAAAAGGCAAGCAAUAUGCUAAAGUAACAAAAGAACCAACAUUCACCAAAAAACAGUAUAAUUAACAACCCAAGGACCCCCUCCCCCAUAACUGGAACUCCCAACCAAGCUAUCCUUAAACCUCCUAACUACGAACUACGACUCGACCACCCACCUUAGCCUUCUAGUUUAAUACUCUUCCUCCAAACCUUCCUAUCGAGGGUCAUGUCCUCAGUAAGCUGUAACUGUUCCAUGUCACGUCUAAUCACUCCUCGGCAGUACAUUUUUGGUCUACCCCUACCCCGCUUGAAACCCUCCAAGCCAACCUCUCACAUCUACAGACUGGAGCAUCCAUGCCCCUUCUACCCCUAACCCGCUUGAAACCCUCCAAGGCCAACCUCUCACAUCUACGGACUGGGGCACCCAUGCCCCUUCUCAUCACAUGGCCAAACCAUCUCAACCUCACUUCCCGCAACUUAUCCUCCACCAAAACCACUCCCACCUUCUUCCGAAUAGUCUCAUUCCUGACCCUGUCCGCCUUCNNNNNNNNNNNNNNNNNNNNNNNNNNNNNNNNNNNNNNNNNNNNNNNNNNNNNNNNNNNNNNNNNNNNNNNNNNNNNNNNNNNNNNNNNNNNNNNNNNNNNNNNNNNNNNNNNNNNNNNNNNNNNNNNNNNNNNNNNNNNNNNNNNNNNNNNNNNNCUACAAACCGCCUGCGACUCCAACUGCACCACCACAUUGUCCUCUUGCCUCAAGUCGCUAAACUUGCACUCUAAGUACUCCGUCUUGGUCCUACUCAACCUGAAUCCUUUAGAUUCCAGGAUCUGUUUCCAAACCUCCAACUUAUCAUUAACACCUCGGCGCGAAUCAUCAAUCAAAACUACAUCAUCCGCAAAGAGCAUACACCAAGGAACCUCCCCUUGUAUAUUUCGUGUCAACACAUCCAUCACCAAGGCGAAUAGGAAUGGGGUAAGAGUCGAUCCCUGGUGCAGCCCUGUCAAGACCGAAAAGUGCCCGGAAUCCCCUCCCACCGUCCUUACCCGAGUCUUCGCCCCCUCAUACAUGUCCUUAAUCGAACGGAUGUACGCCACUGGUAUCCCUCUCGCCUCCAAGCAUAUCCACAAACCUCCCUAGGAACCUUGUCAUACGCCUUUUCCAAGUCGAUAAACACCAAGUGCACAGAUCCCUCUUUCUCUCUCUAUAUCGUUCUACCAACCUCCACACAAGGUGAAUUGCCUCAGUUCGUCGAUCGACCAGGCAUAAAUCCAAAUUGAUUCUCCGAAAUAGGCAAUAUCUUCCUCAACCUCCGCUCCACCACCCUCUCCCAAAUCUUCAUCGUGUGACUCAACAACUUAAUACCACGGUAGUUGUUGCAACUUUGAAUGUCUCCUUUGUUCUUAUAUAAAGGAAUCACCGUACUCCAUCUCCACGCCUCGGGCAUCUUAGCGAUCUUGAAAAUAUUGUUAAACAAAUGGGUUAGCCACCUCAAUCCCGCUCCGCUAGCAUACUUCCAAAAGUCCACCGAAAUCUCAUUGGGCCCCAUCGCCCUGCCCCUUCGCAUCUUGCGAAUAGCCUCACAUAUUUCCUCGACCUUAAAACGCCGACGGUAGCUAAAAUCGCAAGGCUGCUUAGUGUGCUCCAACUCCCCUAACACAAUACCUCUGUCCCCCUCAUCGUUCAAGAGCUUAUGGAAAUACGACUGUCAUCUUUUCUUAAUUAGAACGUCCUCCACCAAAACUUUUCCAUCCUCUCCUUUAAUGCACUUCACUUGGUCAAGAUCCCGACCCUUACGCUCCCUAGUUUUGGCAAGCCUGUACAACCUCUUUUCCCCGCCUCUCUCCUCUAAACCCGAAUAAAGUCUCUCAAACGUUGCUGUCUUAGCCGUCGUAACUGCUAACUUAGCCUCUUUCUUAGCAAGUUUGUACUCCUCCCUGCACACCCGCUUCUCCUCUUCUUCUUUACUCUCAACCAACUUAAUGUAAGCCAUCUUCUUCGUCUCCACCUUCUUCUUAACUUCUUCAUUCCACCACCAGUCCCCCCGAUGCCGGCCAGACCAUCCCCUUGAGACACCCAAAACCUCUCUAGCAGUCUCCUUAAUGCAACCCGCCGCCCUAUCCCACAUACUAACAACUAAUAUAGGUCAACUAACUUAAUGUGCACGAUUUCCCACUAGCAUAGGUCAACUAAUAUACCUAUGCUAGUGGGAAAUCGUGCACACCCAUGGAAUAGUCGAGAAUGAAGACGCAUACAAGCCGUCCCCGCCGACAUUCUUAUAACAAAAAAGGAAAAAAAGAAUUCAUCCAAAGGGAUUGUUUGAGCAUUAUAGAGAAAGCCAGAACCAGUUUGGAAGGUGCAUAAUAUACACAUUAAUUUUUACGUGGGAGAACGCACAAUGUAGCUGAACUUUUCACAAGUAUUGGUCUUGCUAGAGAGAACAUUGAUGGAUGAUGAGAUUUGUUAUACGAAAGUAGAUUGAAGAAGUAGCUGGAACAUCUCUAAAGAAGGAGGACGAUUAAAGAAACACUAUCAAGUAUACCAUGUGGUUUUAAGUCUUUGGUUUUAGACAUCUGUAGGAAUUAAUGAGGAACUCGUUACAGGAUGUUAGUAAUGGAAAGCACCACCAUGUUAACCAUGAUAGGAUCACCUCGAUCUGCGUAUUCGCAGAUCAGAGAUCUUUAACCAAACACUACCCGAAAAAUGGUUAUGGAAGUAUGCAAACGAAGUUCCCAAGAGCAAGCCAUGUAGAGGAAGGUAAUUUCUACAAAAUACAAUAGCAACAAUUUGGUUAGGCAUACAGAACAAGUUUGUGGACAAGCUUGCAGGCAGGGACCAUGAAGUUUAAAAUUGAUUACAAGUUUAUUGAAUUAUAUUUAGAAAAUGGAAGUGGAGUACUGUUUUGGCUUGAUUUAUGAUGUAGAGACAAUAAGCCGAAUAUAAUUUUCACAGGUAAACCUAAAUAUUUAUCCAACCAUAAGAUCACUCAUAGUAGCUAAGGUAACGAAGAGGUAACGAAGAGGGGGCAUAUUCAACCGUCUGGAGAUGUAUCCUUUUAAAAAAGCUUUACAGAUUUCGAAGUUGGACGAAGUGAGGUCAUUAUAGUAUAUGUACUUCUAUACACAGUUCGGGUAAAAUGAUAGUAGUACGAUAUGGAGAGGGUAUCCUCAAAAUGCUUCUUAAGAAAGUCUUUUUUCAGGAGAGUUUACAAGGGUUGGAGAACCUAGAACAAUGUGAAAAGUUUUGUGGCAAUCUAAAGCUCCCGAGAAGGUGGAAUUCUUCAUGUGGCCUGUUGCGUGUAGAACUGUUUCGACUGUUGACAAUUUGGGGACUGAAAGAUGCAUUUUCUUUAGCUGGUGUUGGUUAUGCUAGAAGCACGGGGAGACAUGAAACACCUUCUAUGACAUUGAACCUCAAAGUAUGGAGCAUGUUAUUCAUUAAGCUCAAUAUUAAUCGAGAGUACCUAAUUCUGUGGCGGAAAUGAUGGCAAGGUUAACGUUAAGUAAAUUGUGGACACAAGGAAACAGUUGCAGACUGCUCCGUUUUGCAUCUUUUUGUUGUUAUGGAGAGAAGUAGGAGAAAAUUUGGAGGUUCCCAGAGCACAAUAUCAAGGUAUCAAAAAAGUUCUCUCUUGUUAUUUCCAUCUUUGAUGCAAACGCGCACACACACACACACACGCACCAUUUUGGUGCUGUAUCAAUAUUAUUGAAAAGAGAACUCUUACCUCAAACGUUAGGACAAGGGAACGCCUUUUUCGCAAUUGACAAUUAGUAGCUCAUUAAUAUACUACAGCAAAUAUCAACAUCUCAAACAUAAGCUAUGCCACAUAAAAAAUCCACUAAGACGUAGCUAGCAUCUAACAUUUAUGUUUUACUAGUUUCAACUAUCUCUCCUUACUCUAAUUAAACACAACAAUCGGGAUCACUGCUCAGAAUUCACAGCAAUCUAAUCAUAGAUUUGACUUUGUGGUCCACUGCAAGUCUGCCUCAAGCCACAAAAUGAAUACAACAAUACCAACCACUAGACUUAGAAAUACUACUAACUCUACCUACCAAUGCUAUCGAACGGAAAGCUCGUCAGCAGCGCAUUUUGAGGGUUAGAAAAUGAAGUAGUGAACACUACAGACUAUAACAACAACAACAUACCCAGUGUAUUCCCACAAAGUGAGGCCUGGGGAGGGUAAAGUGUUCAGAGUCCAUACCUGAAGUAGAGAGGUUGUUUCCAAUAGACCCCCGGCACAAGACAACUAACAGUAUAGCAAACAAACAAACAAAAAUCAUAAAAACAAACAACAAAAAGGGAUAGCACACCACUAAAUAAUAAGACACCUUCAGAAACUAUCUAUCCGAAAUCGCACACGCAUACAACUACGACUAAGGCGCAACCACAAACAAAACACUACUCCCUACUAGUUAGGGCGCACUCCUACCCACUAACUAUCUACCCUAUUUCGCGCCCUCCACCCUUUCCUAUCAAGGGUCAAGUGAACACUACAAACUACAGUCAAUAUUCAUUCUUAGGUAUCUACAACAACAUAUCUAAUGUAGUCUCACAUGUGGGGUCUGAGAGGUUGUUUCGGAAAGUCCCUCAGUAUCGAAUUAAAUGUGGCAGCAACUGACUUAGAUGAACCAAACUAACUAGUCAGGUUUGUUACUCAAAUCAGCAAACUUCAUGUCAUAUGGCAGGUGCUUUUCCUCAGUUCUUAAUAAUAAGAAGAAAAAGACUUCAUCUUGGCAGCAAACCAAGAGCAUACUCCCUCUCUUCACUUUCAUUUUUCACGUUUCGCUUCACCAGAGCACAACAACCACAUACCGUGUAUUCCCAAAAGUGGGUUCUUGGGAGGGUAAAGUGUACGCAGUCCAUACCAAUACCACUACCUCUACCUUGAUGAAGUAGAGAGGUUAACAGAUAACGGUAUAGAAAACAAAAAAACAUAAAAAUAAACAACAAAAUGGGAUAACAAACCGCUAGAUAAUAAAAAAAACAACACACCGACAGAGUAAUACUAUAAACUAUUUAUUCGAAAUCACAAACAUCAUUAGAACACUACAAACAUAAAAAUACAGGCACAGAUACAAACAAAGAACUCCUCCCUACUAUUACAAACGCACUUCUACCCACUAACCCACUAUCCUAAUUCACUUCACAAGAAUCAAUUUAACUAAUUUUUGGAGCUAAACUGAAUUACAUUAAUUUAAUAUUUUAAAUUUAGAUAUUCAAAGAAUUAUAUGAAAAAUAAUAUACUAAGUUGCAAUUCCACUCAUACUAAUAUAAUUAAAAAAUGUACAUAUGUUAAUAUAUUGAUUAAAAUUCAUACAAUUUAACUCUAGAAAACAAAAUUUUAUUUUGAAUUUUAACUAAAAAAAAAACCUUUACCAGGAAGAAUUUUUGACAAUCGCCGGCGAACUGAAGCUUUUUAGCUCCGAUUAUGACCCGACCCGUUUGAUGAUUUUGGUGUUUUGUUUGCCAAAUGGACCGCUAUCUUUUCCCUUUUGUUUUCUUUAUUUCUUAAACUAAUUUUUCAAUUUUAUUUUCCAAAAUAAUAUUUUUUUUCAAUUUCAAUUUAAGUGACAUAAUUUUAGUUCUUGGAUUCGAACUCUAGAUAUGAAAAUGCUAUUUUCGAACAGCCCUAUCCAAUGUGAAUUCAAUUUAAUUGAGCUUCAAUGCAAAUACCGAAUAUCAAAUACAACAACAACAUACCCAGUGUAUUCCACCUAGUGGGGUCUGGGAAGGACAGAGUGUACGCAGUACCUCAGGCAAGUAGAGAGGUUGAUUCUAAUAGACCCGGUACCAAACAUCAAAUAAAAAAAAAAUGAGAUAAUACAUCGAAACACCCCUAAACUUGUAGUCAAAACUUACUUUAGACCCUAAAUUUGUAUGAUAAUUAUUUACUCCUCUUAACAACUUUGAACUGAAUUUAUUUCACCUCUCUAAAUCUUACACAAAGUCAAGACUAGGUAGUGUUGGACACGCGCGUUUUUGAUUCGUCCACGUCAUUUAAUGAAUCCAUUUACUAAAACCCGAACCAACCUUAAUAAAGCCGACCCAAUCAUUAAAACCCGACCCAACCCUAACAAAUACCCCUAAUUUCCUCACUCAACGACAUUUCUCUCACUUCAGCUGUCAAAAAUCGCGAAUUUAGGUUAAUUUUCAACUCUAUUUCACCCAAAAGCAUAUGAUCUACAACUCGAUUAGGGUUCUAACAGGUUCGUUUUAGGGCUUUUCGUAAAUUGUUUAAGUUGUUGUAUUUGGAUUUAGGGUUUUUCUAUGUUGUAAAAAUUGAUUUUGUUGUAAAGACCGUACUUUUUAAAAAAAAAAUUUUAGAUUAUCUAUGGAUUUUGCAUAUAUUGUAUUGAGGUUUCAUCAUGGAGGAAGGUUACAGGAAAAGCCUCGUAUAAAGUACCAUAGAGGUAUUGUUACAGAUUGUUUUGGUGUCGAUAUUGACAGGUUUUCAUACUAUGAGUUUGUUGGGUAUGUUAAAGAAAUUGGUUAUAAUGUUGAAUCGUGCAUUGUCUAUAUGAGACCUCCUAAACGUAAUUACCUAGUAAAAGUGACUUGUGAUAGGGAUAUUUUGGGUAUUGUACCUCAACUUAAAAAUAGAGAUAUUGUUCAGUUAUAUGUGUCACAUUUAGUAAAUGAACCCCACUUGGUCCCUGAAACACCUGCUAUUGAAUAUAUUUUUCAUGUGGGUGGGGAAUCUUCUACUUUUUUUGACAAAGAGUCUAGUCAAGACCGUGGGAUAAGUGAAAAAUUAGGGUUUGAAGAUGACUUUGUAGAGGCUGCAACACCUCAAAAGCCUUUUGUGAGUGAAAAUUUAAAUAGUGGUGUUGCUGCUACUAGUGUUGGAGAGUGUAAUGUAUUUAGUGCUAUUGGUUCUAAUGGUGAGGAGUUAGGUGGUGUAGAGGAAAAUUUGGGUAGUGGUGUUGCUGCAACUGUUGUGCAGAACUUGAGUAGUGCACCCUCUACUAGUACUGUUGAAAAGAGUAGUGGUAGUGGUGUUGCUGCUACUGUUGAAUAGAACUUCAAUAGUAUGGUGUGGGGUUGCUGCUAGUGGAGAGCAUAUUUUGGGUAGUGAUUGUUGUGUUGCUCCUCAUGAUGAGCAAAAUUUGGGUUGGACUAGCUUUGUUACUGCAUCAAAUGUGCCAAUAAUUCCAUCUGAUUGGGUAAGUGAAUCUGAUGAUACUGUAAAUUCAGAUUAUGAAGACUUUUUUUAUGAAGGUGAAGAUGAAUAUGGUAGUGAUGUUCAUGAUGAAGUUAGAGUUUUGAGGGAAGAAAAGAGAGCUGCCAAAAAGAAGAGAUCUGAAGAAAAAAAAAAGAAGAAAAAAGAGCCUAGAACUGAAGGGGUUAGUAUAAAAAAGGAGUUGACUUAGGAUAUGAUGAGUUUUUAUCUAACAAAAAAACUACUUUAGAGGGAAAAAUAGUCGAAGAUGAGCCAUAUUUUGAUUCUGAUGAAGAUGUUAGCUUUGAAAUAGAUAGUGAUGAUGGCAAUGAUGGAGAUGAUGAAGUAGAACAAUCUGGAAAAAAAGAAAGAAAAGCAAGAAGAACAAAAAGAAAUCAUAAGAGAAUUGUCUUUGAUCCUACUUGUAAAAAAAUAGUUUGGGAGCUUGGUCUUUGUUUUGAAAAUGUUCAGCAAUUUAGAAAAGCUAUUACUAUGUAUGUUGUGCAAGAACAUGUAGAAUUAGACAAGUAUGUGAAUGGACCAAAAAGAGUGAGAGUAAAAUGUAUUGAUGGUUGUCCAUGGUUGUUGUUUGGAAGCCAUGAUUCUAGAACUGGAGAUUUUCAGUUGAAGAAGUAUAAUCUAGUCCACAUAUGUAAUGCCACAAUCAAAAACAAACUUGUAAAUUCAAAGUACUUGGUAGAGAGAUACAGAGACAGGAUUAUAUCUAAGCCUGGUAUUAGAGUUUUUCAGUUUCAAAACUUGGUGAAAAAAGAAUUGGAGGUAUAUAUUGGGAGGACAGUGGCAAGAAAAGCUAGGAAUAAUGUGUUGCAGCAGAUCAUGGGUGACCAUGUAGAGGAAUUUAAAAGGAUUUUGGAUUAUAAAGAUGAGCUUUUAAAGACCAAUCCAGGUAGCACAUGUGUGGUGAAGCUUAGUAAAGAAACCUUUGAAGAUGGAAAAAAAUAAUUUGUAUCAUUUUAUAUAUACUUUGAUGCUUUGAAGAAAGUAUUCAAAUCUGAUGCUAGGAGAUGUAUUAGAUUUGAUGGUUGCUUUUUGAAAGGUGUUUGUAAAGGUCAACUACUUGUGGCUGUUUGUAAAAAUGGGAAUAAUUAGAUGCUACCAUUAGCCUGGGCAGUGGUUGAAGUUGAAAACACAUUCAAUUGGAGAUGGUUUAUAAGACUUGUGAAGAAUGAUCUUGAGUUGGGAGAUGGGUCUGAAGUGACUACUAUCACUGAUAUGCAGAAGGUAAAGCAUUUGUUAUUAAUUGUCUUUAUUUUUUUCUUUUAACUAUAUUUUCUUUUUUAACUAUAAUCUAUAACAUUUAUUAUUUCUUCAAGGGUCUUGACAAUGCAAUUACAAAAUUGCUAUCAAAUGCAGAACAAAGAAUGUGUGCAAGACAUAUUCUAGCUAACUGGUCCAAAAUUUGGAAGGGUAUUGAAAGAAGAAAUUAUUUUUAGAAGUGUGCCAAAUCCACAUAUGAGCAAGAAUUGAGAAGAAAUUUGGAUCAUAUGGAGAUUUUAGGUGAUAAAAUUUGUGAAGAUCUUUUGUGGUAUAACAUAGAAAGAUGGUCCAAAGUGUACUUUAAGUAUCAUAGUUGUUGUGACAGUGUUGACAACAACAUGGCUGAAAGUUUUAAUUCAUGAAUAUUGGGGCCCAAACAUAAGAAUAUCAUCACAAUGCUUAAAGAAAUAAGGGUCAAGGUGAUGAGAAGAAUAGGACAACUGAGAGAGUUUGUUGAUACUUAGUUAACUGAUAUUUCUCCAAUGGCACUAAAAGUAUUGCAAGAAAACACAACAAAAUCAAUGAAGUGUACUCUUGAGUGGAAUGGUGAGUUUGGUUUUGAAGUUAAGGAUAGCUGUGGCAAUACUUUCAUAGUGAAUUUGAGAGAUAGAAGUUGUACUUGUAGGUCUUGGAUGUUGAAAGGUAUACCUUGUUGUCAUGCCAUAGCUGCACUACAUUAUAGGAGAUUGGAGCCAAUUCAUUAUGUUGCACAUUGGUAUACCAAGGAAACCUACCUCAAGACUUAUAGUUACUACAUCCAGCCUGUUGUUAAUAUGCAAAUAUUAUCAAAAUCAACCAACCUUUUUGUUUUACCUCUAAUAAUAAAAAAACUGCCAGGCAGACCUGACAAAUCUAAAAGAAAGGAGUAAAGUGAAAACAAGACUGAAAAGUUGUCUAAACAUGGUGUUGAGAUGAGCUGCAACAUAUGUCAUGCCAAGGGUCAUAAUAAGAAAGGUUAUCCUUUGGCUACAAGUUCAAUAAAAUCCAGUGUAGGUUCCUCUGCUGCAGCAGGCACAAAAAAAGGAAGAGGAAGACCAAAAGGGUCUACAAAGGUAACAAUUGACUUGUCAUUUACUACUAGUUCAUUUCUCUGUUAUUUUCUUACAUUUUUUGUUAUAUAUUGUAGGUUGUUGCUGCUGCUGGUAGAGGAAGGGGAGUUACUGUUGUCGAUGCUGGUAAAGGAAGGGGAGCUAUUGUUGCUGAUGCUGGUAGAGGAAGGGGAACUGAUGUUGUUGCUGCUGGUAGAGGAAAAGGAGUUGAUGUUGUUGUUGUUGGUAGAGAAAGGGGAGUUGUUGCUGCUGGUAGAGAGAAGAAAGUUGAUGUUGUUGUUGCUGGUAGAGGAAGAGGAGUUGUUGCUGCUGGUAGAGGAAGGAGAGCUGUUGUUGUUGGUAGAGGAAGGGGAGUUGCUGCUACUGCUACUAUAGAUGGUGUUGGUAGAGAAAGGGGACCUGCUGCCGAUGUUACUGUAGGUAGUAUUGGUAGAGGAAGAGGAGUUACACCUGUUGCUGAUGUUGGAAGAGGUAAAGGGGCACCUUGUAAAAGACCUAGGAUGGUUGGAAUGGGGGUGUUUCAAACAAAAAGUGGUUAUAAAAUUCUCAAUGUAAGUUAAAUUUAAUGAAAUUUUUCUAGUUUAAAGUCUAUCUUUUAAAAGUCUUAAAAUAAAUUUGUUCUACUUUGUUUUUUUAGCCUGGAAUGCCUAUGAACUCCUCCAUAGUGACUGGACAUCUUGGACAUCACAAACUCAAAUCCGGUGUGAAAUGGAAAGGAAAGAAAGCUACGACACAACAAGAUCUCGAAGUAAUGAGAGCACAGAAAAGGAUAAGGACAAGCUCAAAUGUUGCUGAAGUGAAUUAUCUAAGCCAAACAAGUUCAUCAACCUUUCAGUAGAAGCAGUCUGAUUUUUGUUUUUGUGUAUUGAUGUUGUGUACUGAAACAAUAGUGACGUCCACUUAGGCAAUUUCUAUUUUGAUUAGUGACUUCAAUUAUGCAGCUGUGACUGCACUUCUGGCUAUAUAUUUUUGUUAGAAAUAUGAGCAGCUGUGACUGCAUUAUGUUGAAAAAUAUCUGUUUGAAGCAUUUAUGAUUCUGUGUUUGCACAAUUCUCAUUUGACUAUAAGUAGUUGUGGUUAAUGAUAGUUUUUGCAGUCUUGCUUAACUAGUUGUGACUAUAAGCAGUUGUGGUUAACUUCAUUACAAAAGAAAAUGCACCAUUACAAAAAAAAAAAUGCUUAUAAUACAAUCAAUUCAACUACUUUUCUUCAUAUAUAUCAAGACAACCAACAGCUGAAUACAUUACAAAAGAAGCUGCACUACAAAGUACAACAACCAAGUGCUCAAGAGACAGUCACCAGCCAAAGUAGAUUACAAAAUAAGCUUAAAGAAGCAGCACCAAUCCCAAAAUAAGCUAGAUAUCUUCUAACAAGAACAACCACCUUAAGGUAACCUCAUUGAACCUUUCUUUAUAUGUAUCAUCCCAAGCCAAUAGUUUAUAGCUAUUAGUAGUGGAGAACAACAAAACACAACUUCUUCCAACUUCUCCAAUUUCAUAUCAACGCAAUUAUCAUUUUUGGAUUCUUUGGGCGUGUCUACUUCAUGAGAAGGUUCCUCAACAAAUUUGUUCAACUAAACUUUUUCAACUUCAUUAAUCGAUGCAUGAUUGUCAAUAUAUUGAGAAGACUCAACUAAAUUCUCAAGCUCACCUAAUUUUUCUAUUAGUUUUAGAAUCACAUAUUUGGACCUCGGAUCAAUAUCUUCUCUAUCCCUCCAGCACCAAAAGUCGCAAAAUCUUGGACCCUUCAAUGGUGAAAAAUAAAGAAUGAAUUAGUCUUUAAUCAAGUCUAUCGGAAUAGUAAAAGCAAAAAAAUUGAUAUCUACCCUAUAAUAAGGGCAUGCCCAAAAUCUUCUUCCGGGAUUUCUCGAAGUCCAAGAUGUCUUCAUAUGCAACAAAAAUCCAUGAUUACAACGAACUUCUUUGUACAAAGCAUUAUCAUUUUCUUCCAUACAAAGUUUAGUCAAAUUAACCGACCUCAUUGCGUGCUAGAAAAAUAGAUUACGGUUCUUCAAGAGCAUUUACAUUUGAAAUGGAAGAGAAACCAAUCUCAAAAUUAUGCUUAAAUUUCGGAGAGGAAGCAGAUUUUGAGAAAUUGAGGAAGAAGAGAAGUAAAUUAAGGUUUUUGAGGAUGAAAUUGGGUUGGGUGAUUUGGGAUUUAUACCCGUUAAGAAAAUUUAAAAGAAUAUUUUCCUUUAAAAAAAAUUUAAAAGGCAAAGACAAGACUUCGACACGUCCAGCAACACGCGAUCUCACUUCGUUUUCUAAGGGGUGAAAUAAAUUCAGUUCAAAGUUUUUAAGGGAGUAAAUAAUUGUCAUACAAGUUUAGGAUCUAAAGUAAAUUUUGGCUACAAGUUUAGGAGUGUUUCAAUGUAUUAUCUGAAAAAAAAAAAAAAAAAAGACAUAAUUUUAGUUGAGAAGCAUUUUUAAAGUAAUAAGAAAGUUAAAAGAAUAUUAAAAUUUUACUUUUUUCACUUAUACUAUUCUCACAAAAUUUUAAAUUAUAAUUUUUAUAGUCAAAGGAGGAGGGUAAGUAUAGUUUUAGCAUAGGUAAGACACGUGGAGUUUUCCACCUUAAAAGUUCACGUCUAACAACGUGUUCAUUACUACUUUCCAAAAUUUCAACUCCCAAACACAUCCCCAAAACAACCAUGACCGACCGGAAAACACCCACCUCCGCCGUGAACCACCGUACAAAUCCCCCCAAAUCACCUGUAAACACCACAACCACCACGAAAAAAAUCUCAAAAUCUGGACAACCCCACAAAGUCUUCACUGAAAAAGACGAAAUCCAGGUCCUCAAGAACCUAUCUCAACUUCCAAUUAGCAUGAAAGAUCCUCUCCAUAACUUCACUGGAAAGCAGAUAGCAAAGAAGCAGAAGAGACUCAAAGAGAAGUACCACAAAUUUGCAAGAACAAAAUCACUAAUGAAAACUCCACACGACAGAGAGGUUUAUGAACUUGGAAGGAAGAUUUGGGGCAGAGAUGCUAUCAAAGAAAAGGAAAAAUCACACAUAGAUGAUGUGAAUUUGGAGGAGUUUCCAUUUUUAGUGAAUGAAAUGAAAGUGUAUUUUCCAAAUUAUGAAGAAGGGUUGAAGAGAUUGGGGGAGAAGAAAUUGAAAGAAAUGAAUGAGAAAUGGAUGGAGUUGAAGUUAGAAGAAUCUGAACUUAUGGUAAAUAAAAGUCAAUUGUUUCAUGAAAACUUGAAAUUUGUUGUUGAAGGUUCAAUGGGUUGUAGCAGGAGCAAUGUGAGUUGAAUUUGGAAAAUUGAAGUGUUAACCUCAGUACUGUUAAGCAGUAAAAAGAAAAAAAAAUGAAUUUCCUAGUGUAAUUCUGUUGUAUGUUGUUAUGAUGAAGUGUUGUAAUGGAGUACUUUCAUUUAUUUAUGUUUCAUCAUUUGGCUGAUUUUGGGUUUUAUUGUAACCAAAUUAGUUAGGCAUUGAGUAGUACUAAUUGGAAUUUUGAUUACCAUAUUAAUUGAAAAUCACAGUUUAUUUGAUUUUCAGUUUAAUAGAUCUGAAGGCAGAUUGUAAAAAUCUUGGAACAAAGCUCACAAUAUGAGUUCAUUCUAAUAUAACCAUACAUCUUUUUAACUAAAAGAAGAACAAAAUCACACAUAGCUUCCAAAAUCUUUGAUCUAACACAAACUAGGGACAUUUUCGUGGUGUUUUGGGGACCUUUGUGAUUUUGGAAAGGUAGUUCGUGGUGUUACUCUGGGUGUCUUGUUUCUUCAAUUAUUCAGUGGUGUGUUAUUAUAUUUUGUUUGUUUUUGUGCUCUCGAAUUGGUAUAAUAGCAUGACAGAUAAUGGCAUGUGUCAUGAGCCGAGGGUCUAUCGGAAACGGCAUAAUACAUAAACAUGUUCUUUAACUUAUAUAAAGUUAAAUUAGUAAACACAUGCAUCCUAUGUGGCAUAAUACACAUAGGAUGUCAUGUAGGACAAGAAUUAGCCAUGUGGGAUGUCACAUAGGACACAUGUAUCGACUUGUUUAACUUUAUACAAGUUUAAGUGUCUACUUGUGCACACCCAAAUUAGCCAUCUAUGACCUUCAACUUUGGGUGUGCACAGAUAGGUACUUAAGCUUGUAUAAAGUUGAAUAAGUAGACACACAUUUUCUAUGUGACAUAAUACACAUAAGAUGUCAUGUAGGACAAGAAUUA
rnacentral:lncRNA from 1 species